rnacentral:lncRNA from 1 species
GACCUUUUCUAUCAACGGUUGGUGUAUCUCUUCCAUCUCCUCCGCCAAAACCUCUACCAAGAGAGCCGCAUUGUGCCCUUCGGUCUUUGCAUCCCUUAACUCUUCUCCUUCCUCUUCCUCGACCUCUUCUUUCCCUUCUCUCAUUCAAGACAAGCCUGUUUUUGCUGCUCCUUCUUCAAUCAUCACCCCCGUUGUGGUAUAUAUACACAAAAAGUUUCAUUAUUUAUGCAACAAAUUGGAUACAAUCACUCUAUUUUUUAUUUCAUCACAUGCUUGUUUAAUAUUUAUUUACUUUGGUCACAUUUUACAUUUUUUCAAUGUUUUCCUGCCUCAUCUAUAUAUGAGGUAUAUAUGAGGUUGUAUAUGAAACCAGUUUUAAAUUAUGGUUGUAUUUGUUGCAAUUAUGAACUAUGGUAUGAAAGUGAAAAUGUGUUUCAUGUAAACGUGGUCGUAAUAUGUGGUUACAAUUUUGUAACUUCAAUUUUGAUAAUUGACCUUAAUUUAAGAGGUAUAUCCUUAAGAUGUUCAAAAAGCAUUCCCAAUAUACAAAACACACAUACUUCUUGCAUUUGUUGUCUUGUUUAUUUUUUUAGUAAGAACCCAAUAUAAUAUUCUAUUUGCAGUUUUGAAUCAUAGUGUGUAUUGUGAUGGAGUGUAGCAUAGAUUUUUUUGUCUUAGGUGAUCAUGUGUUCCAACAAUCUACGUGUCCACGCAUAAAGGGUAAAUAAAUUUGAUUGCUACUUGGAACAUUAACAUUUAACUAAGUUUUUAAUGUUGAGUUUACACGUGAAACUUUACACCCAUUGAUUUUUCUAUGGAACCAUCUCAUAACGAAUAGGAUUCCUCUACCGUACUAGACUGAAAAUAUAAGAGAAUGAUUCUUUUAAAUUAUUUAAUUUAAAAAUAAACUAAAACUUGAACUAUUGAAAAUUUAUUUUUGACACAUGUCAUAGACUAUCUCAUAACUUAAUUAGUUAGGUUUGAGUGACAGGUGUGUGAUAUGGAUUUGUUCACAUGAACUAGUAUGUGUAAGCUGUCAGAACCAUACAAUAAAAGAAGUAUAUAUUAACAAGAAAAUUGACAAAAAAUAAAACUAUAUAUAAAAUGUGAAAUUCCUUGAAUGGUGGAAGCUAAGUUAGUUGGAGGAUUCUAAGGCGGAUAAAGCAACAAAUCCAAACUUCUUUAGAAGAAAAGGUCCACUCAAAACCAGUUUUGCCAAAUUGGCUACUAAUCAAUAUUCAUACACCAUUUCCAACAUCUAUAUUUUUAUGAAAUUUGACAUUAUUUAAUUACUUAGUCAAAUUCUAUUUAUUAUUUAAUUUCCCUUUGGUUUUCUCUUUUUUGUCCCCAUAAUUACAAAGUUUUAGUUGUUAAAAUUCCACCAUGUUUAAGACAAAUUUACUUUUUGUUUCUCAUUUAAUUUAUUUGUAUACAAUUUUUUUUAUCAAUAUCGGAUGAACCAUCAUAUAAUGAACUUUCUUUUUUACUUUGUAAUGUCAUAUGAUAAGAAAGAAAUAAUAUAAACAAGCAUGUUAGAUUACAAAACAAAACAAAAAACAAUAUGAUAACUUAUCAGUAUAUGCUAACUUGUAUAUAUAUUUUUUCCUUUUUAAAGAGAGAGGAUAUGGGUAAGAACUAUGAUGAAGCAAUUGAAGAACUCCAGAAACUGCUAAGGUAAUAAAAUAUGAAACACUCUUUCUGCUAGAAAAUGCAUGCUAUUAAAUAUUUCACAAUAUCACUCUUGCUCCUAGUAAAUUAACAUGCAAUUGCAUUAUGUUUAAAUUUAGAGAGAAGGCUGGACUAAAAGCCACAGCAGCUGAAAAGGUAGAGCAGAUAACAGCACAAUUGAGCACAGCAUCAUCUGAAGCAGUUCCAUCAUCAGAAGCAUCUGAAAGGAUCAAAACUGGUUUCCUUUACUUCAAGAAAGAGAAAUAUGAGUUAGUCACUAUAUAUAUAUACCUUAAUAUAUGUCUUCAUAAAUUAGUUUCUUUUAGUUUAAGCUUUCUCAUUUCUUAUUAAUUCUUUUUCACAGCAAGAAUCCAGCUUUGUAUGGUGAACUUGCUAAAGGCCAGAGCCCCAAGGUAUUUAUUUUCUGAUGAUUUAUUUUUAGAAUAUAUGUACCCUUUUGCAUUCAAAAAUAUUUGUUGGACAAUUUUUUUAAUAACUUUUAGACACCUUUGAUUUUUAUAAUGCAAUUACUUUUCAUUGUAAAAAGUAAAAUAGUACAAAUGUUUAGAUAACAUUACUUUUUUGGAUAGUGGUAAAAACUUGGGUCAUACUUUAUGUUAUAUAAAAAACAAUUGUUACAAAAAUUGUCCAAAACAACUAUAAACAUUUUAUAAAAAAAAUAAACUUAUCUGAACUUUCUAGACUGGUAACUUUACCCUUUUGGAUAUAGAUGAAAAUUUCUAUUAAUGUUGAAGACUAACUUUGUCUUAUUUGAUUUUUCUUUUUUGGAGUUUAUGGUGUUUGCUUGUUCUGACUCAAGAGUAUGCCCAUCACAUGUGUUAGAUUUCCAACCAGGAGAGGCCUUUGUGGUCAGAAAUGUUGCUAACAUUGUCCCACCAUAUGACCAGGUCUCUUUCCAAUACACUUUUUGCUUUGUCCUAAUACAGUAAUAAUUCAAUACUCAAAUUAUUACUUUCUUUGUUUACCUCUUCACUCUAUCAGUCUAAAUAUGCUGGAGCUGGAGCUGCUAUUGAGUAUGCAGUUUUGCACCUUAAGGUACAUUAUCAAUCAUUAGAAGAUAAAUGAACUGCACAAAAUUUCAUGCAUAUUGUACUCUCCUCUAUUUUUAAUAUGAAUACAAUUUCAUUAUCAUCAUAUUAGAAUUUGACAACAUUAAGUUAUUUCUUUCUCUCACUUAUUCAUUAUACAACUCCACUUUCACUACAUCAUAAACUUAUAUUUUUAUUUCUAUUAUUAAAUAAUAUGCAUUUGUUGAAAUUUUUUAUGAAAAUAAUUGGAAGAAGACCAAAGACUAUAUAUAUAAUAAUAAUAACUGUUAAAGAUGACUUAUUCUUACAUAAUUUUCGGUUAUAACGGUUAAAAUUGUUUUUACUUUAAAUAGUAGUUUGAGUUGUAAAAUAAAUAUCAAAUUUUCCAUUAUAUAAAUUCUUUAUAUUUUGUAUUUGUGUAGCUUAGGUUGUAAAGUAAAUAAUAAAGUUUCAAUAUAUUUUCUUCACUUUCAAUUUCCUUCUUGCUGAAUUGCCAAUAAACUAAUAACCAUUAAACUAAUAAGUAAUAUUUCUGCAGGUGUCUGAAAUUGUGGUGAUUGGACACAGUGCUUGUGGUGGUAUUAAGGGGCUUCUCUCUUUCCCAUAUGAUGGAACCUACUCUACGUAUGUCAUUUUGUUUUACAUACAAAAUUACACUUUCCUAUCAAUUAUUUUAGGAUAUAUCCGCUGAAACUUCAGUGUUUGGUACAAAAACAUAAGAAAAUUACUUUCCUUUUUCUGGUCUGUGUUGUGCAGUGAUUUCAUUGAGGAAUGGGUCAAAAUUGGUUUACCUGCAAAGGCAAAAGUGAAAACAGCACAUGGGGAUGCACCAUUUGGAGAGCUAUGCACACACUGUGAGAAGGUAUAUAUAUGGGACAAAAAUAACACCACCUACAUUAACAUUAUACUAUAGUACUAUAGUACUAUACUAUAUGAAGAAGUAUACUAUAUAUAACCAUGUAUGUGAUGGUAACAAGUUGGAUUUUUAUUUGCAGGAAGCAGUGAAUGUUUCCCUUGGAAACCUGCUAACCUACCCAUUUGUUAGAGAUGGGUUGGUGAACAAGACAUUGGCACUGAAAGGAGGAUACUAUGACUUUGUUAAGGGUUCUUUUGAGCUCUGGGGCCUUGAGUUUGGCCUUGCUUCUUCUUUCUCCGUAUGAACACCCAACCAUUAUCAAUGACCUCAUCUUGCUUCCCUAAGUAUUCUACUUUCCUAAUAUGAUGAACUACUACUCUUGUAAUUACCCUUGUUAUGGAAUGAUAAAUUCCUAAUAAAAGUUAGUGGAGAUUCUCCAUCACUCUUCAUAUAUAUAUAGCUCCAAAUUAAAGUUCCUUUUUAUGCAUGAAAAAUAGGAGUGAAGUGUAAUAAUUUAAGGUGCAUUUUUCUUCUUUGUUAGGUAAAAGAUGUGGCCACAAUCCUGCAUUGGAAGCUGUAUUAGGGCCAUGCUUAGAGGUCGUGUGUAUGCGAUGAAGGACCAUAUGAUAUUCGAUCUUAUCUAAUUAUAUAUAUGUAUAUAUGAAACUAUGAACUUGGUUUAUGUGGUAUCAUUGAGACAAAAAAUGUCCAUUAUAUAUGUGGCAAUAAAAAUGCACCUAUGUGUGUUUGGUAACUCACUACAGAAAGUGUGUUUUGUAACACCCUUAGACACAGUUGAGAGGUUUAUAAAUCAUCCCACUACUUGAUCAGACCAAAGUAAGUUCAAAUAAAUAAUUAAUUGAGUUAAUUUAUAACGUAAAACAAAUUAAUGUUUACAUGAAGAGUUUUUUUAGUUAGCCAUUGUAACAACUUUGAGUUGUUGAUAUUUAAUGAACAUAAUAAUGUAAAGAUGAAUGAGGAAUGUUGAAGCCAUGGAAAGAUCUAAAAUUGGUAGAAAUAAUAUUAUAGUAGUCCAAAUUAUGAUGAUAACAAUAAUAUUGAUAUCAUAUUGUGAUGUAGCACAAGGUGGAGGAAAGUGCUUUGGAUUGAAUGAGUAUACACUUUACUUUAGAAAUUUGAUGACUCGUAGUGUUGAAGGAAAAAACAUGUCAAUUGUGUGCUAUGGAAAUGAUGCCAGACUUUCAUACAAACGAGAUCUGAAUCCAAAUUUCACUUUCUCUAUCUGUGAUGGUCUUUAUGGUUUUGGUUGGCUUAUUUCUUACAAAUAUGUAUGCAUUGUCAUUUCUUCUACUUCUGAUUGGAUCCGUCAAUUCACAGCCUUUGAUGAAUCGGAUUAUAAUAAUUUUGAUUGCAUUAAACAAACUGAAUGUCAUUGGCAUAUACAUAAGUCUCAUGCACUUCUUUAUUCUUUAAAUCAAGAAAAAUAUGUAAAACGUUAUUAUGAACCUAUUGAUCUUCAACUCAAAUAUAGGUUAGAUCAUUGUCAUAAAGAUGGAUUCUGUGGGGGUCCCCCCUAUCCUGUGUAUUAUCAGUAUUAUUAGUAGGAGCCAUGUAUGAAUAAGAAAGAAAAACUUCAAAAAGGAAGAAGUUGAAAGAAUAAAUUAAUGAAAAUCAAAACUUUGUUAUUUUAAUAAUAUUUCUCAUUGAUUAGAUUAGAAAGAUGAAUACAAUAAUUUAUAUAUAUCAAAAAAGAAAAUAUAAAAAUUGAAAAUGAUAAUAAAAAUCUUCAACCAACUAUCUCAACAAUAUUUUAACAGUUGAUUCACUCGAUUCAAUAACCAAAGAUUGAUUAUAUACAUGUGAUAAACUUCAUUUUGUGAGUAAUGCUAGCUUCAUUUAGAUACUAAAACUUUGAAGCUUAUUUGAAAAUCAUGCCAGAAUGUUUUUCAACAAAUCACAUUCUUUCAAUACACAUCUAACUAUCAAAUAAAUAUUAUUAAUAUAAACUCAUAACUUUGUUCCCUUUUGUAUUUACUAAACGAAAGUGACUUUUUUACACAACCCAAAUGAAAUAGAUUACCUUAAAUCAUUUUCAUUUUUAGCAGACACAUCCAACCAUAAAAGGAAGUCUAUUACAAAUAAUUGAAAUAAUUAGUUUUUGGCAGCCAGACUAUGAGUGAAAUGCAAUGCUUUGGUUAUCUUCAAAUCAGUCCGAAUAAUGGACAAUUAACAUUUAUUUAUGCUUGCUUUGUGGCGGAUUUUGUUAAGUCCAUUGGAGUUUUUGUGUGGAAUUUACUAAGAUUACUACACUCAAGCACCAAAUCAAUGGAUUGCUAAACACAUUCUAUAUGGAUCCUUCUCUGAUCCACAUAUUCCAAUUGGGCAUGCAUGUUUAUGAGUAUGACUCAAUUGAUUUAGGUGAGAGGAAAAAUUUAGUUUGAAUAUUAAGAUUUGAACAAAGUUGAAAUCUUAAAACAUGCAUACUGCAAUGAAUUAAUAAAAAAGAUGUACAUAUGGUAUGUCAAAUAAUUUAAUUAUGUAAUAUUUUUAUAAUAUAUUUCAAACAAAAUAUGUCUCCUAAAAAUCGUGACGAUGUAAGAUAUGUUUUUUUUGAACUCCAUUAUUGUUAGUUAUCGAGGUCUUUAGUCCAAUAUAUUUUUAAGAGACCAUCUUCAUAAUGAAUUUUAAAUAACCUCGUAUUUUUUUACGUUAAGUCACAUUCUUAAUUCAAUUAUACACCAACUAAGUAAUAAUAUAAAAUAAUGAGUCUUACAACCAAAAAGUAGUUAACAAAUUUAUGUAUAAGGUAAUAGUAAUUGACAAGACAACAAAUUUAAAAAACAAAUAAAAACCAAAUACUUACCACAUAGAGAUAAUAUUAAUUGUAUAGAUAAAAACUAUUUGGGCCUGCAUUAAUUAUAGGCUCUGUGUUGCACACUUGCAAUACACCCGCUAGUCACAUGGAGUGGUCUAGUUCAAUUCCUCUCUACUAUUGAUUAGAUAUGUUGACAUGUGGUACAAACAAAUUUUUAAUGGUCCAAAUUUUAACUUACUUUUAAAUUAAAUAAUUUGAAAAAUAAAAAUAAAAUCAUUUGUUCCCUUAAGAACACAUCAUAAUUAAGUUCUUGUGAGAAAAAAAAUGUAAAUUCAGUUUGGAAAUGUCAAGUCACACCGUAAAUGCUCAACUGCCAAAAGAAAUAUCUAUUUCAAGUGAUUCGAAGAGAAUAAUUAGUAGUUCAGUCAAGUUAUAUGAUAAGAUUCUAUUGCGAGGUGUUUUGCCAUAAGUGUUUCAUAAUUUCAUUUAGUUACUCUUUAGUGUUAACAUAAUAUUAUGGUUGAGAAAGAAUCUUCUCUAUUAAUAAGGGUGGGUGAUGUAACCAAUGCACCGUUUAAGGAAACCAAACAUAUAUGAUUUGUAUGUUGGAAAGUACAACUUUUGAAUUUACAAAAUACUUUUUGUUGGGUUUAUUCAAGUGUUAAGUCUCACAUUGGAUAUGUGUGGAGGAGUGAAAAAGUUUAUAAGUAGGAAAGACUCAUGGAACUAAUGCCUUAAAGUUUUGGUUCAAGACGUGGUAUCUCAUUUGUGACUCUUCACUCUUCUCAUACUCAUGUAACAAUGGAACUCCCUAGUGGUUAGAGGCUCCCGGUCGUAGUCUGGUCCAACAAGUGGUAUCAAAGCCGAUGGUUCGGCUGAGACAUGGUGGACAUAAGGGGAGCAGACCGGAAAGUGUGUGGUACCCACACUUGAGGGAGGAUUGUUGGGUUUAUUCAAGUGUGAAGUCCCACAUUGGAUAUGCGUGGAGGAGUGAAAGAGUUUAUAAGUAGGAAAGACUCAUGGAACUGUUAAGUGCCAAAUUGUUAAGGAAAUUUAUAUGCUUUUAGGGCACUUAGAGCGUAUUUAUGCUAUUAUCACAUACAAUUCCCAAUAACUUAGCUAAUCUUGUAUUGUUUAAGAAAUUACUCGUGUUUUAUUAUUUGUAGGUUUAGGAAUGAUGAACAAAGGAUAAAAAAAAUAGAAGAAUGAGUUUCUGAACAGCACAGGCCGCGCCCAAGUGAUGGAAUGAUCGCUCAAGCCAUAAUUAAGAAGAAAAUCACCAAAAAAUACUGACACCCCUCGCCCAAGCGAGGGAAUAGUCGCUCAAGCCAUAAUUCAGAAGAAAAUUACCAGAAAAUAUUGACACCCCUCGCCUAAGUGAGGGAAUGUCACCCAAGCACCAAUUGAAGAUCAAAAACCUGAUAGCUUUUGUUUCUCCCUCGCCUAAAAAUACAAAAAAAUCAUAGAAUUUAAUAUAUUUUUAUAGACUUUUCUCUAUAUUUUAAGAGAAUUCCUUUAUAUCUAUUAUUUUAACAGUAUAUUAAAAUGAGAUUUUAUUAGAAGAGUUAAUGAAUAUGUAGAAGAAGUGGUGAUCUAUUCUACACAAGUCUAAAGAAAAGUUAAAACAAUAAAAUUAUCUACAUAUUUUAAUAUUUAUUCUGCAUAAGAAUAAUUAAAAGUUGUAUAUCUUACUUUUAGAAUAUUCUAAAUAUUUAAGUCGAUUAACUUUAUCCUUUCGUCGAAACAAAAAUAUUAUUUCUAGGUUGUCAUAUAUUCUAAAUAAUUAUAAACUAUAUCGAAAUCUCAGUUUCUUCUUUUAUUUUUCACACUUGCUUCUCCUUCAUAUCUAUUGAUUAUACUUUAGCAGCUAGUAUCCCAUGUAUUGUGUAUACACUCUUAAAUUUUCCGUGAUUUAUGAAAAUUAUAAUAGAUUUAUUGAUCUUAAUAAAUUUAAGUUUUAACUAUAAAACAUAAUUCCAGUUAUUACUAUAAAAAAAAUACGUUGUUGUGUGAGACCACAUUUUUUUAAGAUAUAUCACUUUUGUUUUAUAAAAUCAAUAAUGGCUAAUUACUUGAACUUUUUAGUGAAUAAAUUUGUAAACAACAUUGAGUCUUUUUAUUUAUUUAUACUUAAUAAUUGACAUACGAGCUAUUUAUCAUACACUGUAUCAUACAUUAUAAAUUAACGAUGCCUAGAAAACAUUUAUUUAAAAUUUUAAUUAUUUCUUAUUAAAUAUUAAAAAAUAAAUUUUUAUUGUUUCUUACAUUGUAUCCUUUGAAGUAUUCACUGUUUUAAUAAAAAAACUUAAAAUGGGUCAAACUAUCAUCACUUAUUUUGGAGACAUGUAUAUAAUAUAAUGAUUUAAUAUUUAUAUUCUAAUAGUGUAAGUAUUUUUUAUACUAUCAGUAAAUCAUCCAUUAUUCAUAUGUUAAUUAUUAUUGACCCUCAAACAAAAGUAAUACAAAUCAAUGGUGGAUGGUGUGCUGACAACAUAUAAAACUUUACACUAACGAUGUAAAUAUUUAAACUCAUAAUAUAAUAUAAUAUUUGAUAUUACUAAGGGUCUCUCCUCACGUUUUGGUAAUGAACUAAUCAUAGAUGCCUCUCCCAACAAAUGUUGUUCCCAGUAAUCGAACCAUUAACUUUGGGGAUCCAAUUGGAUCAUACACCAUUAGACUAACGCCUAUUAGUUAUUAUAAUAUAAUAUAAGAUAUUAUAAGUUCGUAGAAAUAUAGAUAGAAUGUAGCAAAAAAAAUAAUGAAUGGCAAAAUAAUUAUGUAGAAUAAAUAGAAGAUAAAAAUAAGGGCCUAAAUAUUCCUUAAGAGCUUACCCGUGAAAAUUACGAAUUCAACUCGUAAUUAGAAUUAGUUCACUUCUCCUUUGAUGAUCAUAUCUCUUUUUGGUGCAUCACUAAUUUUGAUUAAAAAAAGUGAAUUGUUACCAAAUUAUUUUGUUGUUUUUUUAAUCAUUAUCAUCAAUUGUUGUAUCUAUUCACAAAAGGAAUUCAUAUAAUGUAGUAAUGCUUUCUUUGAUUUAUCAUUAAUACACAAAAAUCUUACCAAUUUGGAAUUGUUUUAUUUAUGUAUGAUGAACACAUGAAUUUCAUGCUCAAGUGCUAGCAUAAAAUAUUAUAUUCUUUGUAUAAAUAUUACAUAUAUACCAAUAAUAUGAAUACAUAUUUACAUUCAUUUAACCUUAUAAAACUAUUCUGUCAUUCAAACAAAGAUAAGAAUGAAAUAAUUAAUGAAUUUUUUCUAUAUACAUGCAUUUAGUCUAAAACACAAAAAUGUGACUUAAUAAGAUAAGAUGUAAUAUAAACUUCAUUCCCAAAAGAGUAUAAAUUGAGAACCAUUAUCUACCAUUUCUUGUAUCUCUCAUAGCCUAUCUUUCCCUAAGCAUCCAUUUUCAUUGAGCCAUGUCUAACCCAAUCCCUAGCUCUACUAGUAACCCAAAGAAGAACAAGGGCCGUAGAAGGAUUGAGAUGAAAAUGAUAGCCAAAGACAACAACCUACAAGUCACAUUCUCCAAACGCUGCACUGGGCUAUUCAAGAAAGUAAGUGAGCUUUGCACUCUUUGUGAUGCAAAAGUUGGGCUAGUUGUCUUUUCUCUGCCAAACAAGGCUUUCUCCUUUGGCGACCCUAGUAUUGAUGUUGUCAUAGACCGCUAUCAAAUGAGGGACCAACCACUGAACCUGGGGAACAUGCAAUAUCUUGAGGCUCACAUAAAUGCUAAUGUUCAUGAGCUUAAUGAUAAGAUUAAUCGGAUCAAUGAAGAUCUUGAGAUUGAGAAGAAGUGUAGUGAAGAGUUGGCUAAGAAAAGGGAAGAGGUACAAGAAUGUUUAUGGUGGGCUGCUCCAAUUGAAGAGAUCAAUGGAGAACGAGUUGAUCAAUUAAAGUCGACUCUUGUGAAUCUGAAGAAGAAUGUACUUGGUGUUGAUGAAAGGCAGAAUAUUGUUGAGAGUGCUGCUACUGUUGCUGCUGCUAUCCCACCACCUCCUCACUUUUUUAUAGGUGGUGCAUCUUCUUCAAACAACCCUUUGCCACCACCACCUCAGCCACCAACUCAGGAGUCUCAGGUGCAGCUGCCACCGCUACCUCAGCAGUUUCCUGUGAAUCCACAACCACCACCUCAGCAGUUUAUGCAUCCACAACCACCACCUCAGCAGUUUAUGCAUCCACAACCACCACCUCAGCAGUUUAUGCAGCCACAACCACUACCUCAGCAUUUUCCGAUGUAUCCACCACCACCACCACAUAUGCUUCAGAAUUAGUCCAUGAUGGUGCCAAAUAAUCUGUUCAAUGGUGGCAUGAUGAAUCACCCUGCCUUCAAUAAUAAUAAUAUGGGAGGAUAUGGACUUGCAAGUGGAUUAUUUUGUUCCAUUUCAAUCCAAAUCCACCCGAAUCCAAAUCUCCUAUACCAAAAGUUUUUUAUGCUUCUUUACCAACCCAAUGAUGUUUUUCUAACUACUUAAAUGUGUCACUAUGAUAAUUAAUGAGAACUAAAAUGAGGUGUGCUAUUUAUUACUAGGCAAAUUCUUAUUAGGUUGGUAUAGAGGCAUAAAAAACUUAUGGUAUAGAAAAUUUGGGUUCAAAAUAUGCCCUAUCUUUCUUUUCAAUAAUUUACUGUAUUUCAAUUUCUAUAUUUACCAGUUUCAUAGUUGGGACUGAUAAGAGUUUUGAUUUUCAUUAUGUUGCUUGUCUUGUCUGUUUAUGGCAUGUCAGUCAUAAUCUUUAUCAUUUUUUACUUAUGAAUGUAUUAUCAAAUAAAGGGCAUAUUUCUUUUUAAUAUUUCAACAUCUCUUUCAAUAAUGUAUAUUAUGAUAACUUGUUUAGGGCUCUCAAAUUAUGAACUCCCAAAAAAAAAAUAAAUAAUGAAUAUUUUUGCUAAAACUAACCGGAAUUGAUUAAACUAACAAUUCAGAUCAUGAACUAUAAUACCGAUUUAUUUUUGAUUUUGUAGAUAUAUGAAAGAGCCUUGUUGAAUCAUACAUGAAAAUUAUGGAUGAGGAGCCCUUCCAAAUUAUCAUAUACGUACAACAUAAAUGUGCCCUAUGAUAUAAUAUUUUCUUAACUUCAAUUCUAUCAUAUUUAUACUAAUACUAAAUCCACCAUAUAUGCAAUCUAACUUUUAAAUAAAAAAGUGAAUCAUUGGAAAAAAAAAUGGACGACGAAGAUAUUUGUUUUAUUUCAAAUAACUAAAAUUUAUUAAAAAAUUUGUAUUGAUCGAGUCAGUGAAAUCAUGACAUGUGACCUAUUUCAUCAUUUUUUAUAAAAAAAUUCCAAAACUAAAUAAAAUAGUACACAUGUCAUACUUUUACUAGCUUAAGAAGAUAAGUUAUCUCUUAAUGUGAGGAGAUACAUUAUUCUCAUAACUAAUAUAGUAAAACCUUAUUAGGAUCAUUGAAAGGUCUGCAAUCAAUGAACUUAAUUCCUCAAAGUUUAGCUCCAUCAACUAUUCUAAAAGAUCAACAUUACACUAAAUUUCGCAUUUAAUAAUGCUCAUUCAAAAAUGUACAUGUGUUGCAUACUGUUAAAUGUAAGGCUGAAGGUAAUUAACAUAAUUAGGUGAAGCAAAUACUGCUAAAUGUGAUAGAUAAAUGUGCAACCAACAACACCUAAUGAAGCAACCAUUAUUGUUUUUAUGACAUAGAUGUUCAACAUCGUUUAGUUAAUCGGGUGUUGUUCAAAGUGACAUAGCACUUUGUAUAGUGAGUGUUGUUGAAUAACAUGUUUUAAAUAUUGGCGUUUCGUGUAACCUAACUACAUAAAUGUAAUUAUAUACACUUGUAAACAGAUUAUACAAUAGUUAGGAAAGAAUGAACUAAUUUUUCCUAAGUAUUAUUGUAGGUUAUAUUAGUUUGGUAGUCUGUAUAGAUAGAUAUACAAGUAUAUAUAUUUAUUUAUUGCAAACUACUUGUAUAUAGUUGGAUUGUUGAUAUUGUGAAAUAGAAAAUGUAAUUAUUGUUGCCGAAAUAAAUGAGAUUGUUCAUAUUUGUCAUAACAUUGUGUUAUUAUAUGUGUUUUGUGUUGUUUGAUAUAUACGUGACAAUAUACUAAAUGUGUUUGGUUUAUCCUACCGGAACUAUUUGAUAUAACAAUAUUAUUUGAUGUAGUGUUAUAUAAAAUAGUAUUGUCAUAAGAAUCAACAUUUACUAUAGCAAGUGUUGUAAAUAUGUUGACAUUUCACACUUUCAACAACACUUAUUUAAGGAAGUUCUGUUGAUAAUGGUAUAUUCAACAACGCUUGCUUGAGGAAGUAUUAUUGAAAGUGACAAAUUAAAUAAUGCUUUCUAGAACAAGCACCAUUGAAAUUUAUAUAUUCAACAAGGCUUAAUUGAGAAAACACUGUUGAAAGUGACACAUUUAGCAAUGCUUUCUAGAGCAAGCGUUACUGAAAGUGACACAUUCAACAACCUUUCUUCAAGCGAGAACUAUUGAAUGUGUCACUUUCAACAUCGCAUUUAAAAGUACAGUUGAACCUAGCCUUAUAUUCUACCGUGAUUGCAUUAAUAUUACCUACAAGCCUUGUUGAUUGUCAAAUUUAAGCAUUAUUGUUUUGCAAUUUUAACAUAUUUCAAAAUAUACAUCAAGAUCGUCUUUGAAACUAAUGUGACAUUUUAGAUACAUCACAUGUGGUAUUCUACAUGCAUCUCACGUUAGCCUCAAAGACAAAAUUGGUGCACAUUGAGGAAUAAGUUGGUCAUGAUUUUUUUCAUGAACCUAAAUUUAAUUUUAUUUAUAAUUAGUACAUUGAUCCUGACCCUUCACAUAAGUUCUUAUUUUAAAAAACACGACAAAGAAAUAUCUCUUAUUUUCUGAGAUUCCUCUCACAGAGAGCUUAGUACAACAGCUCGUGAGAGGUCAUAUUUGAAAAACAAAAUCUAGAGUCUAACAAAUUUAAUGCAAAGUACCAGAGAUUGAAAACAAUGAAUUAGCUUUAUGAGAAUGAACAUAUUUUUCUAGUGUUAAAUAGGUGUAAUUAAAUUCUGAUUAAAAUUGCCAAAAUGGGCGUUCAUCGAUUCAAAUUAUGGUAACACUUUUAGAUAUACGACAAAAAGGAAUAAAAUUCGGAUCCCUAAAUUUAGUAUAUAAGGAAUUUUAUUAAAAGUGUUGCUUGUGCAGUAAAUAUUCUCUUGAAAACACUCCAUGACAAUAAAAACAAUCAAAAUUAUAAAAGAGAUUAACAAAUCCAAAUAGAUUUGGCUCAAGAUUAAACUGAAAAAGAAUGAAAUGAGGGAUGAUAUUUUUCCCACAUCCUUUUACCCAUAAUUCAUUUUUAUUCCUUACAAAAAAAUGCGUUGGAAAUAAAUAUUUUCUUCUCACUACUUUGUCAAGAACUAAAACUUAAAUUAAUCCCCAAUUAAAUAUUGAACAUUUUUUAUAAGGAGGGGUCUGUUUGAACUCUGUCAAGAACUAAAACUUAAAUUAAUCCCCAAUUAUUUAUUGAACAUUUUUUAUAAGGAGGGGUCUGUUUACAUUCAAGUUAAGUUAUACAAGUUACAAUUAAUCUCAGUAAUUUAUUUUCUUUAAUCCAACGGACCAAAUGAGUGAGUGCAAUAAAUGAUGCGAGAGAAAAGGAUAAAUCUUAAAUAACUUUUAAGUUUCACCUAUUUGGUCCAUUGGAUCAAAGAAAAUGAAUGUCUAAGAUUAAGUAUAACUAGCGUAACUUAAUAGAUAUUUCCUGAUGAUUGGUGAAAUAUCAAUCCGCGGAUCCUGCGAAAGUGGAGACGGUAAUGGAAUGGAAUUCUCCAAAGUCGGUGACGAGGAUUAGAAGCAUUCUCAGAUUAGCAGUACUAUAGGAAAUUCAUUGAAGGAUUUUCAUAGUUAGCCUUGCCGCUAACUACACUAACGAGGAAGGACAUACCUUUUGACUGGACGACGAAGUGCGAGUCAAGUUUUCAAGUGUUGAGGAGAGGUUGACCACAACGCCUGUAUUAGUCUUGCCAGAUCCCAACGAAAACUACAACAUAUAUUGUGACGCGUCGAAGCAAUGAUUAGAUUGCAUGUUGAUGCAACAAAGGAAAGUAGUGGCUUAUGCGUCAAGGCAGUUAAAGACACCUGAGCAGAACUACCCAACGUACAAUCUGGAACUAGCUGCAAUCGUGUUUGCCCUCAUGGUGUGGAGACACCAUUUGUAUGGUGUGAAAUUUGAAGUUUUCAGCGACCACAAGAGGCUGAAGUACCUGUUCGACUAGAAGGAACUGAACAUGAGACAAAGACGAUGGAUGGAAUUCCUCAAGGACUACGAUUUUGAUCUUCAGUACCACCCUGGAAAAGCUUACGUGGUGGUUAAUGCAUUGAGUAGGAAGUCUUUGAACAUUCAACCAUGAUGGUCAGAGAAAUGAAGCUGAUGGAGGAGUUCAGGGAUUUUAAUUUAGCAGUUCAAGUAGGACCUAAAAGUUUGAUUUUAGGUAUGCUUACCGUAAAAAAUGAGUUUUUGAAACAACUGAAGGGUUUACAAGGUUUGGAUCCAGAAUUACAAGAAAAGAGAGUCUUGUUAGUUGAAGGGAAAGCUCCGGAAUUUCAGGUAGAAACCGAUGGAGUACUCAAAUAUAAGAAUCGAGUCUGCGUGCCAAGAGAUCCCGAUUUAAGAAUGGAAAUCUUGGACGAAGCUCAUAAAAGCAAGCUAAGUAUUCAUUCGGGAGCUACCAAGAUAUAUCAAGGCCUGAAGAAGAUGUUUUGGUGGUCCAAUAUGAAGAAAGAUGUAGCGGAGUAUGUCUCCUGUUGCUUAGUGUGCUAGAAAGCAAAACUUGAGCACAAGUGACCCGAUGGAGAACUUCAACCCUUGGAUAUCCCUGUAUGGAAAUGGGAUAGCAUUUCAAUGGAAUUCGUGAGCGAUUUUCCAUGACCUCAGAAAGGUUAUGACGCUGUUUGGUUAAUUGUGAAUCGUUUGACGAAGACGACUCACUUUCUAUAAAUACACAUAAAGUACUCUUUGGAGAGACUAGCAGAGUUGUACAUUAACGAAAUAGUCUGAUUGCAUGAUAUUCCUACGAAUAUCAUCUCGGAUAGAGACCCUCGCUUGACCUUGAAGUUUUGUAAUGGUUUACAAACAACUUUGGGAACCAAGUUGAGUAUGAGUUCAGCCUACCAUCCGCAGACUGAUGGUCAAUUGGAAAUGACUAUCCAAUCAUUAGAGGAUCUUCUCAGAGCUUGCGUAUUGGAGAAUUCAGGAAGUUGGGCUGACUAUCUACAUUUAAUCGAGUUCACCUACAACAAUAGUUUUCACUCUAGUAUCGGCAUGGCGCCAUAUGACAAUACCAAAUCAUUAAGCUUAUCCCUAGGUUCAUAGGACAAUACCAAAUUAUUAAAAAAAUCGGACCAGUAGCUUAUCAAAUAGCCUUGCCACCUUUGCUGUCAAACCUACAUAAUGUCUUUCAUGUGUCUCAACUCAGAAAAUACAUUACUGAUCCGUCACAUGUUAUUGAACCCGACUCAAUUCAGUUAAAGGAUAAUCUCACUUUCGAGAUUUUUCCGUUGAGAAUUGCCGAUCGGAAUGUGAAAACUCUGCGAGGCAAAGAAAUCGCCUUAGUUAAGGUAAUUUGGAGCCAGACAAAUGGAGAAGAUGCUACUUGGGAUGUUGAAAGUGGCAUGAAGGAAUCAUUCCCCCCAUCCGUUUUCUUAAAAGGUAUGAUUAAUUUUCAAGGACGAAAAUUUUAUAAGUUGGGGAGGAUUGUAACACCGUUUUUUCAGAGCACUUUUAAUUAAGUAAUUAGUAUUAAUGUAUUAAUUAUAGAAAUUAGUUAGUAAUGUUUUACGCUAAAUCUCAGUUGAGUUUUAGUCUUUUAUUAGAUUUUCUUGCUUGCCCUAUUUUUUGAAGAUUUUUGGAGAAUAAAAGUUUCUGAGACGAUUUCGGGUCGUUUUAUCGAGUUUUCAUGCAGUUUUUGAGUUCUGUAACUCAAAAUCGAAUUCCGAUUUCUCUGUUGGCUUUGAAAUAUUAUUUACAGUCAAAAUAGAUACCAAGGUUAUCUAUAAAUCAUCUCUAGAUAUUUUUCAUCUAGAAAUUCAAGUUUCGACAUUUCGGGCAAAUGUCCUAGAUCAGGAGAUUGUAUAUUUCCAGACGAAAUUAUCCGAAAAUGUUCGGACACGAAGUUUAUCCGGAAAUUACAUCAUAUCAAUAAAGUUGGAAGUCAUCAUUUCAUGAGCCACUUACUUGUUACACAAGUAAGGCAAAAGCUUCCAAAAGCCCCUAAAUCACUCAACAAAUCCUCUCACUCCACCACCAUUAAACUCAUCACCUAUGCUAGUCUAAAUCUACUUACUUUGCAUUAAAUUUUCUGAUUUGAUGAGGGUCAGGUUCUCCUAUAAAUACCUCACCCCAUUCUCUCAUUUUUACACUAAAUUCCGUAUACAAACUAAGGUAGUCUUUUAUUUUCUCUUCUUCAUCUUCUUCUCAUACUUCAUAGAAAGUUAUGAGUUUUUAUUAUGUUGUUCAUAAAGUAGAGUUUAUAUUUGAUCUUUAAUUAUUUUAUGAAGGCAUAACUAAAGGGGGUGAUAAUAAAAUCAUAUAUACCCUACUCCAAACAACAAAAUAGAAAUGGAAAUCGCUCCUAGCGGCUAGCUCCCGUGUCGGCGGGUGCGCUAGAGCACUCACUCUGGUCCUCCUCCAUCUCAGAGUCGGAGGAGAGUUUUAUAAACGUCCUACCUUAGGAUUUAUUUUCAUAACUAUGAAAUUAACACUUACUAACCCUUUAGGUUUUUCCUAAAAAAUUAGGAGGUGUUAAGAUGUUCAUAAAAAAUUGUUGUAUUUAUUUUAGUUGACUUACUUUAAAGUGGUAAGAAUAACUAAAAGAUGUUUAGUGUAAAAUAUUAAAUUAAGAGUCAUUCAUUUUCAUGACUAUGAAAAUAUCACUUACUAAGCCUUGAGGUUUUUUCCUAAAAUAUUAGGAGCUGUUAAGAUGUUCAUGAAAUAUUUUUUAGUAGUAUACUUGAAAUAAUGAGAUUUACCUAAAAGUUUUGACUUUAUAAACUUAAAGUGUUAUGAAGUCUUAGACGGUAAAAUGAUUUAAAGAUGUUGAAUCUUAGUAAAAUGAUGUAAAAAGUUAUUUCGUAAAUAUAAUAAUUAUUGUCAUUUAACUAAUUAACGUUAUUUUGGUGUAAUGAAGAGUUUGAGAGGAGAUCGAAUCAAGUAAGCUCACCUGCAAAUAGAGAACCUAGAGACCUGACACACUUAGGUGAGGAGAAAACAUCGUGACACAGUGGUAUCCGAAUAUGCAUUAGGACCCCCAAACUCCCUCACAAGUUUGGAGUUGCCUUGGGUAUUAAGAAAACUUGUACUUAAUCAAUUGCCUUUUCGUUUGGAUUAAGUACAACAAUAUUUCUUAUACAGAUUUAUGUUAUGUUUAUGUAUGCAAAUACAAUGUUUACUCUUGAAUUAUAAUGUUUGAAUGAUUAUUAUGGGAAUGAUAUGUAUGUGAUAAUUGUUAAAUUCAAGGUUUAUAAACAUGUGAUAUAAUUGAGUAAUAUUUUCCUUGAGAAAAGUAAUUUAAAUGAUAUUCAGGCUCUUCUCGCUGGAGCGAGACAGCUCUCGUUGGAGCGAGAAGUGUCUAGAGAAAAUGAGUGUUUUUUCUCGGGGCGAGAUAGCUCUCUCUUGAGUUAAAAUAGGCACCAAGAAAACUGAUUGUUUUCUCGCUUGAGCGAGAAGGCUCCAUACAUACAUGACUUCUUUUUAAGUCGUCUGAAAGAUAACUCUCAUAUAUAAGAGAGCCUAUUGGCAUGUUUGCAUUCAAGAAGUUGUAAAGGUAAAUAACUAUUUGAAAUUCUUGAAAGUAAUAAAUGUAAGGAGUUGCUUUGUUAAAGGCGAGGCCCGAGGGUGUGAUAUUAUGCCCACGCAGCGAGAUCGUUUGACCGUAAGAGGCUUGGCAAGAGGAGUCGACCAGGAUGAUUCAAUGAUGGUUCGUAGUGGUGCUGAGAAGUAUUAUGUUGUGCCCAUGCCGCGAGAUCGUCUAACCGGAAAAGGCUUGGCUUGAGAGACGUCCAGGAUAACUCAAUGAUGGUUCGUAGUAGUGCUGAAAUUAUUCUCCUUUUGUUUAUAUGUUAAGAUGAGGACCCACUAGAAGCAUUCCCGAUGGGAGAUGUCUUAGGAUGGGCAUAACACUAGAAAAGAUUGAUUAAAAGAUAUAAUUUUCUUAUUUCCAUUAGCGUGCAUAUCCAUGGUAAAAAAUGUAGUAGUGGAGAGGAAAUGUACGGGAGACGAAUGAGCCCCAAGAUGUUGAGAGGGACGGUGUUGAUGGCGGUGAUUCAUCAGCAAAGUCUUGAGGGAGAGUCUAGGUGAGACGAGUCCCAUGUAUUCCUGGAUGAGAUAUUCUGUUAGAUCGGAUAGUGGUCACUUUGCAAACUAGUCGAUCUUUGACAAUCCCUCAUUGCAAUCAGGAUCGACGAGAGGGAUGCCCAGAAAGUGUUUGAUACGACACUGUCCUGAAAUGGACAGUUCCGUAUUGGAACAUAUUGGUCAUAUAUCCUUGCGAGGAAUAAUUUUGGUGCGAUCAAAUCGGCUUGUUAUGGGAACUGUACUCUCGGUUAUUUCCGAAUAGUUAUUGGGAGGAUAAAGGAGUACGGAUGGUGGACUCAUGCAUCACAUUGCAUACAUGAUAUUCUUCGAUAUUGAUUCUAAAUUCUCGAGUUUUAUACUUUGUUCAUCAUUAUUAUAUACUUGUAUGAUCACAUGAUAUAUCUAUACUUGUGCGUUGUCUUGGUGUAUUAUUCUGUGUAAUUCCACGACGUCGAUGGCAAGUUUUUCAUAGAUGUUUUACUCCCUCUCUUUUCUUUUGGUGUAUUUGUACGCAAUGUCAUAUGGACCCAUCAGCACUAAUCCGAGGUUAUCGCUUCACUAUAUCCCAGGAGGGGACAUGGAGUGUUGAGGGUAAUCGGUACACUUACGCAGGUCCUGACGACCUGGAGCUGAAUUGGGUAAGAAAUGGCUCAGUUGUGCAUCUUCCACCUUACUACGCAGUUUGGGAGGCAUCAUUCACUUUGCCCGACCGAUGACAUCCAACCACUGAACUUUCUGUACCAGCUGCAGCUUGAGUCGUAUCAGAAGUUGUUAGGACCUGGCCCCUAAAAGGAUUCUCAUCAUCAGGAUCUAUGCCAAGAGAGACAAACGGGGCCAUGCCAAGGGGUACACCCUGGACCCCUCGUUGGAUUGGGGAGCGGAUGAAGUGGAGGAGGAGGAAGACAAUGGCGACUGUGUAGAGCUUAUCUUUUUAUGAGUGGAUGUAGAAAUGAAUAAGUAUAUGAAUAUAUGAACGAUGUUUUUAGGUUGAUGAAUGUAUGGAUGAUAUACAUUUUACUUUUCGAACGGAUGAAUGUUUGAGUUGUGUAUUUUUUUAAUAUAUGUAUGGAUGAAAGGUUGAAGGAAUGUUCAAAUGAUGUAUUUUGUUUUACAUGAACGAAUGAGUCAAUGAAUGUUUGAAUUAUAUAUUUUUGAAUGUAUGAAUGAAUGCAUAAGUGAAUGAAGAAACGAGUGAAUAGAUAAUUGAAUGAAUAAAUGAGUAAUAAUAUUUUAAUGAUGUAGUUUUUGUUUUUGAGUUAUUUGUUUAUGGAUGAAAUGUGUAAUAAUGCAAAAUAAAUGUCCUUAGGGUAAUGAACCCUAUAUUAUGUUGAUUUAGUCAUUAUUAUAACAUAUGAAGUGUCACAAUGAGUUGCCACAUGUCAUAUAGUUCAGGAUAUCCUAGUGUAAAGAUGAGUUACUUUUAAAAUGGUGGAUCUUAUCAAGAGUACUUUAUCUUGCGUGAAGAUAAUAUGUGCCUUUGGUAUAGGGAUAUCAAUGUGCAACGAUAUCCUAUACAAUUAGGGCUUAGGAUGAUGUUUGGGUCACUUUAUUUAAGGAAUAUUAGCCUUGCCUUGUAUUGGGAAUUAAAUAGAAAAAAUUGUUGACGGGUGCAAAUGAAAGUAUGCUUAAUGAGUCUUAAAUGAGGUAUAAUUACAAGAUUUUGACUAAUCUAAAAGUCACAACCCUAUGGUGAGGCACUAGGUAUUAUUUAAGGUGUACUCAAUAAAAGCUUUAGACUUCUAGUUUACUAAAGUGCAUCUAAUCUAAAAAGAAAGGAAACCAAAUAUCAUAGUUAGAAAUGAGAGGAGACUAGCCCGCAAGUGCAUAUCUGACAAUACCAAGAAUAAUUUAGGUGAUUCGUCAUGCUAAUACUAGUGAGACAACGUCUGACACCAGAUAAAGCGGAUGUCCUUCCCAUCUCAAUGCUAAUCUUUAAUGUCCGGGUUCAAGACAUAUGUGUACAAAUUUAGUGUACAACAAUGUUAGUUAUGACAAGAUAGAGUCUUGCUCCUAUGUAUUCCUAUGAAUAGUAGGGAAUCAAUACUACCUAGUUCUUCGUAGAAAAAUAUUUGUUUGUUGGAUUUAUUUUAUUUAUUAGAUGAUUUAGCAUUGUUUAUUUUUUAAAAGAUGAUUUAGUAAUUAUUUAUGAGGCAACAACUCUCAUAUUCACACCACAUAUCAGCUUAAAGGGAUCAAUUUUAAUUAAUUAUCCAUUUCAAGUGAAUUAGGCGACGCCAUUCGUGUCUGCACCACAUAUUGACUUAAAGAGAUAUAUUUUAAAUCAACUAUUCACUUCAAGGUGAGUGAGAUGACAACAUUCAUGUUUGCACCAUAAUUGUUUUUCAGGGAAUCAUUUUUUUUAAUUUGUUACGUGCUUACAAAACUUAAGUGACUUAGGUAGCAAUACUCAUGUCCGCAACACAACUCAAAUAACAAGAAAAUAAUUGAGAAGAAGAAUUUUUAUUUACUACAUCUAAAAUGUUUACAUGUUUAUUUAAUUAGAAGAAUGAUAUUUGCUUAAUUAUAUACCCAUCAUUUAUAAAAGAAAAUAAAUAUUUAUUAUUAUUAUUUAAAAUAAAAAACUAAUAAGUUAAUCAUUAUUUAGUGAUAUAAAAAAUAAUUAUCACCAUAAAAGCUAGAUAAACAUNNNNNNNNNNNNNNNNNNNNNNNNNNNNNNNNNNNNNNNNNNNNNNNNNNNNNNNNNNNNNNNNNNNNNNNNNNNNNNNNNNNNNNNNNNNNNNNNNNNNCUAAUUCAUGUCUCCAAUCAAUUAAAUCAUUUUAUUUUUUAGAAUCAAAUAUGUUAUUAAUUAAAUUUAUUAUGAAAUUUGAAUAUUCGAUAUAAUAUAGCUUCCAAAUUAUCUAGAAAUAUCUUAUCAAAACUUUAUAAAGUCUCAAAAUAUUAUUGUUAUACUUAUAUUGAUUCGACUUUAAAAUUGUGGUAUCCAAACGGCUUUUGUUUGGUAAAAAUCUCAUGGAGACUUUAGAAAAAUCCUAACACUCUAUGGCAUAACCCAGUUAUAAGUAUAAAACAUAUUACUUGACUUUUAUGAAGUCUAAGUGACUAGAAUAUUUUAUUAUUAUUUUUAUAUAAGAAAUGAAAAUCGAAGAGUUAUCACAUUUUUUUUAAUAUAAAAAUAGAAUCUUUCAAUUACUAGGCUAAUAAGUGUUUAUCAAGUGAUUUAAAACUAUUUUUUAUUUAAAAAGGUUAAAAAAAAGAGAAACAAGUGAAAAUUGAGUCAUUUGUUAUCCUUAACUAAUUAUGAUGUAAUUAUUAGUGUAUUUUAAAAUGCAACUCAACCAAAUUGAUAUCAAAUUAAUUUGAUCUCGUUUGCUUAUUUUUAUAUUUCAAACUUAAUUUAUUCAUUGAUCAAACUUUGAUAAAUUCAAUUCUCAAAAGAUUUAAAUAUUUUUAUCGUAGUCAAUUAUGUAACUAAAUCAAACUGAUAUCAAAUUUAUUUGAUUUAAUAUAAUUUGCUUAUUUUAUAUUGCAAUUCUUAAUUUAUUUUUUGAUCAAAUUUUGAUGUAAGAAAAUCUCUAAUGAUUCAAACAUUUUAAUUAGUUAUUUUUUAUAUACUUUUAAGGUUUAUAUUUUUGUUAUUUUUUAUUUUAUAAAAUGACCUAAGUAAAAUUAGGUGUUCAUAGACUUCAGGUAGCAAAUAUGAAUAUUGUGUUAGAUGAGUGAACACAAUAGACAAUAUAAGAUUAGAAAUGAAAAUACUAUUCGAAAAAAUUUGAGUAGCUCAUAUUAUAGAAAAGAUGAUAGUAUCGUGUCUUAGGUGAUUAAGGCAUUUGUGAAGAAAACUAGUAGAAACCCUAUAGCGAUAGUAGAUCAAGUUCCUAAAAAUUGAGGAUACGAAAAAAUCAUAGGAAAAAUGAUAGAAAUUAAUGAUGUAUCAAUAAACUGUUUGGUAGCAGUGGUCUAGGAACACCUAGAAGGGGGUUGAAUAAGUGUAGCGGUUAAAAAAUUACCGCUUUUUAACAACAACCCAACUGCUGGAAAAACAGUCCCGUUAAUCGAUUAACAAAAGGGUUUAAUCGAUUAACACAGUUACAGAGCAGAUUAACAAAACAAGCAAAUUGCACGACAAUUAAGAUACACUUUAAACAUAUAUAUUUAAGAUAUUUUUGCAUACAAGUGUUAACUAUAUAGCACUGAACACAUAUCCAAAUUCUCAGGAAUAUAUUCAGUGUAUCAAUGCAAGAACCAAAAGAAAGAUAAAGAAAGAAAGAACAGUGCAAAAAUGAUUUUUAUCCUGGUUCGUUUGUGGUCCACUGCAAACUACAUCCAGGCCUCCCCUUCUAGAUCAUGGAGAUUUUCUUUCUUCACAAUAUUGAAUUAAGGUACAGUUACCAAUUCAAUUUACAAGCACAAGGGAUGCCCCCUUCUUGAAAUCUAGGAUCUCUAAAACCUGGUUUGACUUCUACUCUUUCGCCUCUUGAGAAAACCUUUCUCGCGAACAAGCCCCCCAGCCAAGAAUCUUAUCCUCAAAUCAAGCCCCAACUAAGAAUCUUGAUUUCACACCAAGAGACAAAUCCAGACUACACAGCACACGUUAAAAUCAAGGUAUUCUAAGCACAUAAAGCCUAAGAUAGUAGAAUGCAAAGACUAACGAUUAACCCUUAUCCUAAUUGGUUAAGCCAUCAAUAUACAAAGGAGUUAAUCAGUUUUCAGUAUACAUGUGAGCAAUAGCAAAUGAAUAUGAAAUUAUGCAGAAACAUAAAGCAUGUUACAGAAACAAAAGAGCAUAAUCUCUUUUCUCACACAUGCAACUCUCAUGCAAAAUAACAGUGAAAAUACGAAGGCAAAUGCUCUCUAAUACAACCCUAAGCAAAUAGAAUGAAUGCUAAUAAGUUAUGAGUAAAGCCUCAUAUUUAUAGCAUGGUGAAUAAGUGGUUUAAGUCGUGGCAAAAACAGUUAAACAAUUAAGUAGUUACAACAGCUGAAACAUAUUUUAGUUAUAACAUAAAAUAGACGCGUUAAUCGAUUAAGACUACCAUUUAAUCGAUUAACGGACUUACAGAAUGACAUCCAAAUAAGCAAAAACAGAAAACACACAUUCAACAGAAAAUCAGUUACGUUAAUCGAUUAAGCUUACAUGUUAAUCGAUUAACUGGAGCAUUUAUGCAUAUGUUUCACAAGGCAAACUUCUCAAAUGUUAUGUGAAAUAUGUAUACAUGUUUUACCAUUUAUAUUAUGCCUAAUAUGCACAAAUAACAUGUAUGAUAUAUGCAUGAACAUACGAUUAACUAGAUGAUUUAUCUCAUGAAUAUGAUAGUUCAAUUAUGAUGGCUUAAGAGAUUAGCAUCUACGUUCACCUAACCUAUACUCACUUACUACGUCACACAUCCCAUACUACUUAGAUUAUAGACUCAAUUUAUCUCCUAGUCUAGAUAUAACCAAAUCAGCAUAGGGCAUGUUGAUUGUUGAGCCAUCUUCAAGCUUUGUUAGAACCUUGUCUUCAUUAAAACAUAGGCUAAGAUAUGCUAGUGCUGUUCUUGACACUUUGCACUUUCAAUCUCCCCCUUUUUGAUGAUGACAAACACUUCAUCAAAAAAUCUUCAAUUUGUUGAUGGAUAAGCUUGAUGAUGAAUUUGCACUGAUGAAUUUGCAGAAUGGUUUUUAAAGGUUGUUUUUCAAAUACCAAAGUUAAAGCGCAUUGCUUCUCUAUUUCAUUAGCAAAAGUAUGUACGGAAGCUGAAUAGAAACAACCUGCAAAAAUGCUUUAUACAACCUGCAAAAUGUAUGUGACGCAACAAGCAACCUUUCUCCCCCUUUUGACAUUUUCAAAAAGAUAAGUAUAUUCAAUUAUAGUCAAAGAUUAGGAGAGUUAUAAAGGUAUAAUCAGUUAAACCUGGGUAGAUAACUAAUUAUUCAGCUGGAAGAAGCUUGAACAAAUGCACAACUUUUAUUUUUACCGCAUUUAAUCGAUUAAGUAGUGUUGUUAAUCGAUUAAAUGUACACCAGAUAGUAGCAGAAUAGUUUGAAUGGCAUGAAAGGGGUUAUGCAUAAGCAAAUUAAGCAUGAAAUGAUUACGCCUUUGAUAAAUUAGAGUAUUUUGCAGCAGGCACAAUCAUUCAACAUUGUCACAUAUACCAAUCAUAAUCAAGAUCCAUUACAAACAACGUAAAGUGCUAUAUGUAACAUAAUUAAAAAUCAAGCAUGAACGUAAUAAUUCGAAAACUUUAACAUGUAAAACAGUAGUGGAGCAGUAGAUUAGAGUUAGUUAUAAUCCAAAAUGAAAUGAAAUAGCAAUGCUAAGCAAAGACAAAAUUCUCAAGAGGAAACAGGAUCAACAAUUUCCAUUAGCUAGGAAAGGAUAAUCUAAGGUUCUAAGGCUUCCUAUCUAAGGAUAAGAUGUAGGAUUCUGGUUGUCAGGAGUCAACGAGCUACAACCACCCUUGAUUAAGACACUCAACCUGUUGAGCUCAUCACACAUUCUUCUGGUAUGAGAAUCAGAAGUAGUCUGAAUGAAGUUCCGCAAGGNNNNNNNNNNNNNNNNNNNNNNNNNNNNNNNNNNNNNNNNNNNNNNNNNNNNNNNNNNNNNNNNNNNNNNNNNNNNNNNNNNNNNNNNNNNNNNNNNNNNCAAGGUUCACAUUGUUGUAGUCUUCUUGAUAUUGCCAAGUGUUGCCAUACUUGUAGAUGCCCAUUUUGUGAAUUAAACUCUCACUAAUCAAGUGAUCUUUGUCUGAGCAGUCCAUCACAAUAGUAUUCGAGAUGUCAAUAUGUAGAUAAUCAAUCACUCGGGACACAAAGAUACUAUAAGGAAGCAGUUUUGAUUGAGAGGUAGAGACGCUAUACAUGACCUUCAGAAUUUAUGUUGGCCAAUUUAUCAUUAUGGUCUCUUUCACAGCAAACAUAAACCUCAAAUCAUUCAAGGUAGGUUGUGCAUGAUUUGUGUUUCUCUGAAUUAAAAUGUAGGCAAUCAAGUAGUGCAGGAGCCUAUUUUCUACCGACAGAGAUCCAGCUUUAGUUAGUUCGCCUUGUACAAAGAGUUGUGGUCUACGCAGGCAUGACUUAUACAUUUCAACAACAUCGAAGGAGUGGUUGUUUGCCCAACCACAAUUACUCAAACUAGCACCAGAUGCAGCUAAUCCACCCACAUUCAUAAAGACUUCUUCAUUAAUUUCGAACAACUUUCCAGCUAUCAUCGACCAAUAUUUCCCAUUUUUAUAUCUAAAAUUCGAGUAAAAAUCUCUAACUAGAGCAGGGUAAAUGUUACCUUUCAGUUCCAUGAAGGGGACAACCCCUUGAGAUUGAAAACGAAUCGGGAACUCGAAGUUUUGUUCCACAAGCCAAUCCACAUUAUCAAACCGAAUGUAUGUAGGUUUUCUUCCCUGAAACUUCUGCAGCCUUGUUUCUUGUAGAAUUAGUGAAUAAUAUGGGUCCCCGCGGUCCUCCCUUGCUGGUUGAGAAGGCACGACUCUUGGAGCACGCUGUGGAAGUAUCGCGAUUGUUUUGAUUCUUUUUCCACGUCCUUUGUCCAUUGCAAUUAGAACUGAACCGUGAUGAAGGUUUACAAGAGGGAUUGAGGGAAACCUAGGUUAGGGUUUUCAGUUUGGGGAAAGUGGGUUUCUUGGGAAUAGAAGAUGAGGAAGGCNNNNNNNNNNNNNNNNNNNNNNNNNNNNNNNNNNNNNNNNNNNNNNNNNNNNNNNNNNNNNNNNNNNNNNNNNNNNNNNNNNNNNNNNNNNNNNNNNNNNGAUUUGGGGCUAGGAUGAAGCUUUGGAUAGUGUUGGACUUGUUCCUCUGAGAUUGGAUAGAAAAGAGAUGAAUGAGGUUUUGUAAAAAAAUGUUCAAAAAACGCUACUGUUUCUGAUAUAAGACUUCCGUUAAUCGAUUAACGGCUUGACUUAAUCGAUUAACUAAUAGAAAAAUAACAGGUUUUUAAAGAAUUUGUCCAGGUAAUCGACUAAUGCCUGGUCUUAAUCGAUUAACUGUAUCAGAUACAACAUUUUGACUGUUUUUAAGCAUGCAAUGAUUUCAAACUUUAUUGGCUGAAAGGUUUUUAAGCAAUCACAGGUAUUUCAAAUGUUUUUAGGCAUAUAAUCAUGAUUUAUACAAAAGGUCAUAAGCAUUUUAAUCACCAUGUUUGACACAUUCAAAGAGAUCAUGCAAGACAAUCAGAAAAGAAGAAUUAAUCAAGAUAUUUUUCAUCAAGGAUUCCUAGUUCUCUUUGAAGAACAUAGAAAAUAUCUCGUGAGAAGGGCUUGGUGAAUAUAUCUGCUAGUUGUUUAGAAGUUUCAACAAACUCUAAUAUGCAAUCACCUUUUUGAACAUGAUCACACAAGAAAUGGUGUCUUAUCUCAAUAUGCUUUGUUCUAGAAUGCAAAACGGGAUUCUUGGAAAGGUUAAUGGCACUCAUUUUAUCACACUUAAGAUCUUUUCUAAUAUGAGCCCAAAGUCCUUAAGUUACUGCUUCAUCCAAAGGAUUUGAGCGCAACACACGCCAACGACAAUGUAUUCCACUUCAGCGGUGGACAAAGCAACGCACACUUGCUUUUUGCCGUACCAUGCAACCAGGGAGCUGCCUAAUAGGUGACAAGUCCCACUAGUGCUUUUAUGAUCUAACUUACACCCAGCGAAGUCAGAAUCGGAGUAACCUACCAAGGAUAAGGAGGCAUCCCUAGGAUACCAUAAUCCCAUAUUUAUUGAUCCUUUUAGAUAUCCGAUGUUACGUUUUAUAACAAUAAAAUGUGAUUCUUUUGGCAAAGCUUGAAACCUAGCACACAUAGAGACGCUAAACAUAAUAUCGGGGCGGCUAGCAGUUAAGUAUAAUAAGGAGCCGAUUAUCCCACGAUAUUUGGUUACCUCAAUCGCUUUUCCACAAAUGCUAAACAUGAUAUCAGGGCGGCUAGAAGUUAAGUAUAAUAAGGAACCGAUUAUCCCACGAUAUUUGGUUACCUCAAUCGCUUUUCCUUUUUCAUCUUUGUCCAGAUAACAUGCAGAUGCCAUAGGUGUAGAUGCAUCCUUGAAUUGCUCCAUGUCAAACUUCUUUAGUAGUUCCUUGCAAUACUUCGUCUGAUGGAUGAAGAUGCCGCUUUCCAUUUGUUUUAUUUGAAGUCCAAGAANNNNNNNNNNNNNNNNNNNNNNNNNNNNNNNNNNNNNNNNNNNNNNNNNNNNNNNNNNNNNNNNNNNNNNNNNNNNNNNNNNNNNNNNNNNNNNNNNNNNUCUGGCUACAGGAGCGUAGGUCUCAUCAUAAUCGAUGCCCUCCUCCUAGUUGUAGCCCUUGGCCACUAAGCGAGCCUUAUUUCUAAUUAUUAAGCCAGAUUCAUCUAGCUUAUUACAAAAGACCCAUCUGGUGCCAACUAUGGGAUGAUCUUUUGGUUUGGGGACCAAGUCCCACACAUUAUUUCGUUCGAACUAGUUUAGCUCUUCUUGCAUAGCUAUACCCCAGUGUACAUUCUCAAUGGUUUCAUCGAUGGUCUUUGGCUCUAUUUGAGAUACAAAUGCAACAAAAUUACAGAAGUUUCGUAAAGAGCUACAGGUUAUCACUCACGUAGAUAUAAAACCUAGCACUUUAUCGAGCGGAUGAUCCCUCUUUGUUUUCCACACGAUAGGCAUAUCCUGAUGUUGCUCUGCUACUGUUUGCUCCACUUCUUGUUGGAUCCCAUUCAUGUCCUAGUUUGGCACCUCAUCAAGUGUUCCUGAAAUAUCAUCAGAAAAGACCUUUCUCUUCUAUUUUGGAGAAGAUUCGUCAAAAUGCACAUGAAUAGACUNNNNNNNNNNNNNNNNNNNNNNNNNNNNNNNNNNNNNNNNNNNNNNNNNNNNNNNNNNNNNNNNNNNNNNNNNNNNNNNNNNNNNNNNNNNNNNNNNNNNACAAGAAAAAAUUAGAUCUAAGGUUUCAUUUUCCAAUUUUAAUUCGUCUAAUUCUUUCUGCAAUUGGUUUAUCUUUUGUUGAUUUAGCAAAAUAAUUCGUUUUCUCUCGUUGCUUACUUUUGCUAAUUUUUUAAGUUCUUCAUGCAUCUCAACAUAAGCACUAUAUAAUAUUUCAUAUGAGGGAGAAUUAGUAGAAGAGGAUGAUGUAUCAGAAUAUACCUCAUAUGAAGUAUCCUUGCUGUCUGAUCCACAAGCCUCAUUUGUUGUUGUCAUUAAGCAUAACUUUGCGGUCUCCUCUUCAUCUGAGGUGCUUGAUGUUGUUUCUUCCUCGGGUACGUCUCAUACAAUGUAUGCUUUCUUUGGCUUGAGUUCUCGGGGAGUGCUCUAUUCUGAAUCAAUCCUUUUUAAGUAAGUGGGGCACUGAUACUUCAUGUGUCCCGGUUUACCACAUUCGUGGCAGGUGAAGCACUCUUUUGUCUUGCCUUUUCUGGUUGAUUCACAUGCUUCUUUCUUCUGGAAUCGUCUAAAUCCUCCUUUAUUUUUCAAGAAGUUUCCAAAUUUUCGUACAAGGAGAUUUAGCGUUUCAUCGUCAAUGUCUGAAUCGAAGUCAUCAUCGUUUAUCUCUUCAUUGGGUUGUGAUGUUGAAGCUUUGAGAGAUAUUCCCUUCUUUUUGCGAUCGUACUCCUCAUUCAUUGUCAAUCGACCAAGCUCCAUUUCAUGCUCUUGAAGCUUUCCAAAGAGAGUCGCCAAAGGCAUGGAGUCUAGAUCCUUGGACUCCAUGAUUAUAGUCACUUUAGGUUGCCAUCUCCUAUCAAGGCAACGUAAGACUUUAUUAGUGAGAUCUCCUCUGCUGAACAUUUUAUCUAGAGCAAUAAGAUGGUUAAUAAUUUGAGUGAAUCGCUUUUGCAUAUCGCCGAUCGAUUCACUCAGUAGCAUACGAAAUAAUUCGUAUUCAUGUGUUAGCGCGUUUAGCCUGGUGCGUUUGACCUCGCUUGUGCCUUCGUGAGUCACUUGUAAAGUGUCCCGCAUUUCCUUGGCACUUUGACAUUGAGAUAUCUGAAAGAACUCAUCGUAGGAUAGGGCUGAGGUUAUGAUGUUUUUGGUGCGAAGGUUGAAUUGAACCUUCUUGCGUUCCUCAUCGGUCCAUAGACUUUUAGGUGUUUCUUUCGGUUCGCCAUCCACUAGGUGAAGUGGGACGAAANNNNNNNNNNNNNNNNNNNNNNNNNNNNNNNNNNNNNNNNNNNNNNNNNNNNNNNNNNNNNNNNNNNNNNNNNNNNNNNNNNNNNNNNNNNNNNNNNNNNGGUAUAGCGGUUAAAAAUUACCGCUUUUUAACAACAAUCCAACUGCUGGAAAAACAGUCCAGUUAAUCGAUUAACAGAAGCGUUUAAUCGAUUAACACAGUUACAGAGUAGAUUAGCAGAACAAGAAAAUUGCACGACAAUUAAGAUACACUUUAAACAUAUACAUUUUAGAUAUUUUUGCAUACAAGUGUUAACUAUAUAGCACUAAACAGAUAUCCAAAUUCUGAAGAAUAUAUUCAGUGUAUCAAGGUAAGAAACAAAAGAAAGAUAAAGAAAGAAAGAACUGUGCAAAAAGAACGGUCCACUGCAAACUACAUCUAGGCCUCCCAUUCUGGAUCAGUGAUAUUUUCUUUCUUCACAAUAUUGAAUUAUAUAACGUCUGCAAUUUUCUAUUCUUUUAAUAUGUGAAUUAAAAAUCUUGAUUUAAUUUUGUAUAUUUAUCUAAAGAUAAUUAUGAUUUUUUAGAAUAGUUGUAAAUCUUUUAGUGUUUAUUUAAUGGGGUUAUGAUUUUUGUGCUAUUCGAAAAAGAAGUUAUUUUAUUGGUUACCUAACGUUCAAGUGAAUAUAUAUAUCAUCUCGUAAUGAGUUUUUGUAAAAAUAAUGUUUUUUAAAAAGGUAAUUUGUGUUAGAAGUAUUAUUUUAUCGUUAUGUUGAAUUAUUCAUAAUCUUAAAAGUACUAUACUUCAAGUAUUUCUUUUUUUAUAAUAAUUUACUACGUGAAUAAUUGUAGUACAACUUUUCGUUAACUAAGUCUUAUUUAAUUGUUUUAUUAAAGUUUGUUACCUAUAAUUAUGUUUACGGCAACCCACCUAUGUCAUAUAAUAUGUAAAUAAUGCUUCAAGUUGAAGACGUGUGCAGUUAAAGGAUUAUCAAUAUAGAUAAAGAUGAACCCAACAAACUGCACAAAUAUUGUGCAACCUCCUCCUCUUUUUCUUCUUCAUACAUGUUUUCUUUUCAUAUGCAUACAAACCUAUGUCAUCCACACUUCUUUCAACCAUUCCAUGUUUUCUCUUCUUCUUUACAUAGAAAAUCACAUCACAAAGAGAGGAGAAAAUGGUUCUAUCCAAUUUGAUUAUAAGGUUUGUUUUUACUUUCUUUGAAUUUGAUCCAUGAUUCUCUAAAUUUUUGGGUUGUAUUGAUUAGUUCUCUUCAGUCAUUACAUUGUUUAUUGGACCUUAAACACUGAUAAUUUUCUAUUAUGAUAAGUGGUUUUGUGAAGUAUUUUCUUGAUUUAGUGUUAUAAUUUAGAUCUGGUAGACAUGCAUCACCUUUGAUGAUAUAUCCAUUUUCUUAAAAUUACAAGAGUGUGUUUUGUGUGUUUUUAUAAUUUUCGUUGGUCCUCUGUAACCUGUUAAAUCAAAAUCUCAAAAUACUUCAGAUUUAGUGCCUUAUUAAUUGCUACCUACUAAAUAUAAGGGUAUGCAUGUGAUUCUGGUCAUGUGCUUUUAAGUUCUAACUUUUAUGCCUAAUGCAAUAUAUUCUUAUGUCUGCCAAUCUUUCAUAUUAUCAUAAAGAGACUACAAUCAAUCAUAUGAUAUGGACCAAGGAAGAACUUACAAGAAUAUAAGCUUAUCUUGUCUUUAACCCAAAGAACAAAUUAAAAAUAUAAUUACGUAGUUUUAAUAUAGUAUAUACAUCUGCAUUGAAUUGCAUCUGUUUGUGCCUGCGUUUUUCUAUAUAUUAAAUCAAGUACAUGAAUGUCAUAUAUGAGUGUGUGUUUGUUCAAUUUCUAUGAUGAUAUAUACAAUUAUUGACUGGGUGUUUUUGGCUAGCUUAACUUAUAACCUGUUUUCCUAAUAAUAUACUAUAAUUGUUCUUAUAUUUGAAAGAAUUUUUCAGGAAAUGAUAUUAAGACAUAUUUUGAAAAUAUAAUGUGAAAGUAUGUAGUUUGGUUGUUCUUUUAACAAAUUUGAAAGUCUAUAUUUUUAGGGAUUAAUUGUUAUUAAAGUGUGAUUUUGUUCUAUGCCCUUAUCGUAUGAUUUGUGAAAGUAUAUGAGUUUGUUUGAAUUGAUUGUAAUUUGAUUAUUGUUUGAUGAAGUGGCGAUUUUUGGUGGAUGUAAAUGGAGAUGCUCGUGAUAGUGCAACAAUGUUAAAGUUAUGAGAUAAAGCGGCUAAGGUGAGGGAGAAGACCAUUGUGGUCUUAGAGUAUUUCAUUAAAGUUUUUCCUCUCCGAUUCCCUCAAAAGUCGGAGAGUCUUGUAGAUUAGGAACUCUCAUGGAAACUUGUUUUCAUGUAAGAGUCCUUAAUCCUCUUUCAUGACGAUGUAUAGAGUCNNNNNNNNNNNNNNNNNNNNNNNNNNNNNNNNNNNNNNNNNNNNNNNNNNNNNNNNNNNNNNNNNNNNNNNNNNNNNNNNNNNNNNNNNNNNNNNNNNNNUAUUGAAAUGGAAAAUAUAUAUAAGUGGUUGUUAUAUUGAUAUGAAAAAUACAAGAGUUUGAAAUUGAGGUCUUGCUUGUAUAUUAAAUCACUAAGUUAGUGUCUGGAGCUCGUCCGGAGGACAUGUAAUAGUAAAAAUGCACUGGGGCUGAGACAACUAACUUAGGUGGUGUUUUUGGAAAGGUUGAAUUUGAUGAGAGCCUAUGUCUGUUCACACACUUGAAAGUAUAUUGAGAAUUGAGGCUUUACCUAAUGAUCUUGAAUACUAAGUUAGUGUCUUGAGCUCAUCCAUUGGACUUGGCAUGAUAGAAAUGCAUUGGGGCUGAGACAACUAACUUAGGUGAUGUUUGUUGAAAAAAAAAUUGGAAAACCUUGAUUAAAAGAUUUAAUGGACUAACAUCGGUUAGUGUGCAUGCAUUGCAUUCGUGUAGUUGGAGUUGGAGAAAAUGGAAAGAUACGAUGAUAGAAAUAUCAUUGGGAUUUGGAUAGGGGCGGCAAUGACAGUGAUUCGUCAAGAAGCCUUGAGGGAUUGCUUAGGUGAGACAGUCCAGUGAGGGUUCGGGUUGAUUACCCGUAUGACCAGGAUAGUCUUACAUGCAAACUAAGCGGUCUCUAACACCUCCUUGCGCAUUUCACGAUCGGUAGAGAGGAAUCCUGAAACGGUCUGGGCUUACCACNNNNNNNNNNNNNNNNNNNNNNNNNNNNNNNNNNNNNNNNNNNNNNNNNNNNNNNNNNNNNNNNNNNNNNNNNNNNNNNNNNNNNNNNNNNNNNNNNNNNCAGUGAAAAUACGAAGGCAAAUGCUCUCUAAUACAGCCCUUAACAAAUAGAAUGAAUGCUAAUAAGUUCUGAGUAAAGCCUCAUAUUUAUAGCAUGGUGAAUAAGUGGUUUUAGUCGUUGGAAAAACAGUUAAACAGUUAAGCAGUUACAACAGCUGAAACAUAUUUUAGUAUAACAUAAAACAGACGCGUUAAUCGAUUAAGACUACCAUUUAAUCGAUUAACGGACUUACAAAAUAACAUCCAAAACAGUUAAAGCAGAAACCACAUAUUCAACAAAAAAAUCAAUUACGUUAAUCGAUUAGGCUUACAUGUUAAUCGAUUAACUGCAGCAUUUAUGCAUAUGUUUCACAAGGCAAACUUCUCAAAUGUUAUGUGCAAUAUGUAUACAUGUUUUACCUUUNNNNNNNNNNNNNNNNNNNNNNNNNNNNNNNNNNNNNNNNNNNNNNNNNNNNNNNNNNNNNNNNNNNNNNNNNNNNNNNNNNNNNNNNNNNNNNNNNNNNCACAUCCCAUACUACUUAGGUUAUAGACUCAAUUUAUCUCCUAGUCUAGAUAUGACCAAAUGAGCAUAGGGCAUGUUGAUUGUUGAGCAAUCUUCAAGCUUUGUUAGAACCUUGUCUUCAUUAAAACAUAGGCUAAGAUAUGCUAGUGCUGUUCUUGACACUUUGCACUUUCAUAAACAUAAUUUAUUAUAUAAUAUUAUAGUGUCGUUUAAUCCAUAUAAUCGAUGUUAUUGGUAUCAUUGUUUAUUAUAUAUUUAUUAUAUAUUUCAUAAACAUAAUUUAUUAUAUAUUUCUUUCUUCAUGUUAUCCAUGUUAUUGGUAUCAUUAUUUUGGAGCUCCACAUUGAGUAACAUAAUAAACUUAAUAUGAUACUUAAAUCAUGAAACUCUCUUAUCUAAUAGAUUAGUCUUUUGAGUAAAUUACACUGACAUUGCCUGAGUUUUACCGAAAUUACACAAACCACCCCUUACUUUUUUACACCUACCCAAACCCCGUAAUUUUUAUACUUUCAUUACACUAUUCACUUCUACACGAAAAAUAAGUGUAAUCUUUUAAACAAAAAUGUGAUGAAUAUAAUUUAGUUAAAAAAACGUGGUAUAAUGUGGAGACAAAACCAAAUAAUAUAUGAGUCAAUACAUUUAUAUUAUUUUUGGUUCGUUACGCCAUAGUAGAAGAGCGAUUUAAACACUAUCUCUUGAGAAUUGUUGAUGUAUUUUGUAAACAAAAAUAAUAAAGAUACAUUGAUUUGUAUAUUAUUUGGACUUGUCUCCAUAAAAUACGAUGUUUUGUUUAACUUAAUUGCAUUUAUCACAUUUUUUGUUUAAAAGAUUACAUUUAUAUCUCAUGUAGGUGUUAUCAGUGUAAUAAAAGUAUAAAAUUAUAGGGUUUGUGUAGGUGUAGAAAAGUGAGGGGUGAUUGAUGUAAUUUCGCUAAAACUUAGUGGGUGUCAGUGUAAUUUACUCUAGUCUUUUUGGCAGACUAUCCUCAUGUGCUUAAGUCCUAACAAUCGGUGCUUUCAUUGAGAAUUGUGUCAUGGAAAAGGACUACCUGUAGGCUGGAUUAAGGUAUAUUACCAAACAUUGAUAGGUGAGUGAAGUCACCAAAAGAGAAAAUGCUACUACCAUCAAGUAUGUAUCGAUAGAAUGAAAGCUAUCAUGGACGUCAACCCUUAAAGGGGACAACAACGUUAGGAGUCCCACAAUGUGUAGCAAAAUAAACUCAAUAUAAUACUUAAGCCAAUAUGCUCUCUCACCUAAUAGACUACUCUUUUGGGUUGGCUAUCCUUAUAUGCUUAAGUCCUAACUCAUUAUUUAAAAUAAAGUUUUUAAUGAUUUCACAUUUUAAAUAUUUUUAAAUCUUACCUUAAGCAUAUUCUAUUUUUCCCUCAUUAUUAUUUAUUCUAAUAAAAUUAAUCAAUUUUAUUUUUUAUUUAAAUUAAUACAUUAAAUCCAUCGUUUAAUGUUUUUUAUUUAAUGUUAUUAAAAUAAUGUUUUAGAUAAGUUCAUAUUUUAAUACUAACCCAAGUGUUUUUUAUAAGACUAUUUUGAGUUUAUAGUUUUGGUCAUUUGUAAUGAUCUUCCCAAUCUACCAUUCAUAUACAUUUCUAUCAUUAUUUGUCGAACAGAAAAUACGUGUAGCGAAAAUAACAAUAAUAAUUUGAUUAAUAAUGAUAAUAAUUUGAUUGUUUAGUUUUGAAGAUUUUUAUCCUUAGAUUUGAGGGAAAAGUGCGUANNNNNNNNNNNNNNNNNNNNNNNNNNNNNNNNNNNNNNNNNNNNNNNNNNNNNNNNNNNNNNNNNNNNNNNNNNNNNNNNNNNNNNNNNNNNNNNNNNNNGUUUUUGUUUUUGAGUUAUUUGUUUAUGGAUGAAAUGUGUAAUAAUGCAAAAUACAUGUACCAAUAAACAUAAUUUAUUAUAUAAUAUUAUAGUGUCGUUUAAUCCAUAUAAUCGAUGUUAUUGGUAUCAUUGUUUAUUAUAUAUUUAUUAUAUAUUUCAUAAACAUAAUUUAUUAUAUAUUUCUUUCUUCAUGUUAUCCAUGUUAUUGGUAUCAUUAUUUUGGAGCUCCACAUUGAGUAACAUAAUAAACUUAAUAUGAUACUUAAAUCAUGAAACUCUCUUAUCUAAUAGAUUAGUCUUUUGAGUAAAUUACACUGACAUUGCCUGAGUUUUACCGAAAUUACACAAACCACCCCUUACUUUUUUACACCUACCCAAACCCCGUAAUUUUUAUACUUUCAUUACACUAUUCACUUCUACACGAAAAAUAAGUGUAAUCUUUUAAACAAAAAUAUGAUGAAUAUAAUUUAGUUAAAAAAACGUGGUAUAAUGUGGAGACAAAACCAAAUAAUAUAUGAGUCAAUACAUUUAUAUUAUUUUUGGUUCGUUACGCCAUAGUAGAAGAGCGAUUUAAACACUAUCUCUUGAGAAUUGUUGAUGUAUUUUGUAAACAAAAAUAAUAAAGAUACAUUGAUUUGUAUAUUAUUUGGACUUGUCUCCAUAAAAUACGAUGUUUUGUUUAACUUAAUUGCAUUUAUCACAUUUUUUGUUUAAAAGAUUACAUUUAUAUCUCAUGUAGGUGUUAUCAGUGUAAUAAAAGUAUAAAAUUAUAGGGUUUGUGUAGGUGUAGAAAAGUGAGGGGUGAUUGAUGUAAUUUCGCUAAAACUUAGUGGGUGUCAGUGUAAUUUACUCUAGUCUUUUUGGCAGACUAUCCUCAUGUGCUUAAGUCCUAACAAUCGGUGCUUUCAUUGAGAAUUGUGUCAUGGAAAAGGACUACCUGUAGGCUGGAUUAAGGUAUAUUACCAAACAUUGAUAGGUGAGUGAAGUCACCAAAAGAGAAAAUGCUACUACCAUCAAGUAUGUAUCGAUAGAAUGAAAGCUAUCAUGGACGUCAACCCUUAAAGGGGACAACAACGUUAGGAGUCCCACAAUGUGUAGCAAAAUAAACUCAAUAUAAUACUUAAGCCAAUAUGCUCUCUCACCUAAUAGACUACUCUUUUGGGUUGGCUAUCCUUAUAUGCUUAAGUCCUAACUCAUUAUUUAAAAUAAAGUUUUUAAUGAUUUCACAUUUUAAAUAUUUUUAAAUCUUACCUUAAGCAUAUUCUAUUUUUCCCUCAUUAUUAUUUAUUCUAAUAAAAUUAAUCAAUUUUAUUUUUUAUUUAAAUUAAUACAUUAAAUCCAUCGUUUAAUGUUUUUUAUUUAAUGUUAUUNNNNNNNNNNNNNNNNNNNNNNNNNNNNNNNNNNNNNNNNNNNNNNNNNNNNNNNNNNNNNNNNNNNNNNNNNNNNNNNNNNNNNNNNNNNNNNNNNNNNUGGAACUAUAAACUUGGACUUCAUGGCUGCAAUGAUGGUGGCGAUUUAGAGUCUGAAUGCUAACUUGCAUCAAUUUAAUCAACAACAACAACAGUCACAACAACCCCAACGACUUGCACUGUACAGGGGUUUGGAUGAGUUCAGUCGUCGCAACCCAGCUAAGUUUGAAAGUGGAUUUGCACCAGAUGGUGCUACGAACUCGAUCCAAGAGUUGGAGAGGAUUUUCAAGGUACUAAUGUGCACCAAGGAGCAGAAGGUCACGUAUGUGACCUACAUGCGGGCUAAAGAGGUUGAGAACUAGUGGGAGUUCAUUCAACGCCAGAUGGAGCACGAAUAACAAGUUGUCAACUGGACAACUGAAUUAUAAUGUUUGAAUGAUUAUUAUGGGAAUGAUUUGUAUCUGAUAAUUGUUAAAUUCAAGGUUUAAAAACAUGUAAUAUAAAUGAAAAAUAUUUUCCUUGAGAAAAGUAAUUAAAAUGAUAUUCAGGCUCUUCUCGCUGGAGCGAGACAGCUCUCGCUUGAGAGAGAAGUGUCUAUAGAAAACGAGUGUUUUAGCUCGGGGCGAGACAUCUCUCUUGAGCUAAAAUAGGCACCAAGAAAACUAAUUCUUUUCUUGCUUAAGCCACAAAUGCCUCAAAAAUGGAUGUGCCCUCGCUUGAGCGAGAGGGCUCCAUACAUACAUGACUUCUUUUUAAGUCGUCUGAACGAUAACUCUCAUAUAUACGAGAGCCUAAUGGCAUGUUUGCUAUCAAGAAGUUGUAAAGGUAAAUAACUAUAUAUGAAAUUAUUGAAAGUAAUAAAAGUAAGGAAUUGCGUUGUUAAAGGCGAGGCCCGAGGGUGUGUUAUUAUGCCUACGCAGCGAGAUCUUUUGACCGUAAGAGGCUUGGCUAUAGGAGUCGUCCAGGAUAAUUCAACAAUGAUUCGCAGUGGUGCUGAGAAGUAUUAUGUUGUGCCAAUGCAUCAAGAUCGUCUGACUGUAAGAGGCUUGGCUUUAGAGCCGUCCAGGAUAAUUCAACAAUGGUUCGUAGUGGUGCCAAAAUUAUUCUCUUUUUGUUUAUAUGUUAAGAUCGGGACCCACUAGAAGCAUUCCCGAUGAGAGAUGUCUUAGGAUGGGAAAAUCCCUAGAAAAGAUGAAUUAAAAGAUAUAAUUUGCUAAUUUCGGUUAGGGUGCAUAUCCAUGGUAAAAAAUGAAGUAGUGGAGAGGAAAUGUACGGGAGACGAAUGCGCCCCGAGAUGUUGAGAGGGACGGUGUUGAUGGUGGUGAUUCGUCAGCAACGUCUUGAGGGAGAAUCUAGGUGAGACGAGUCCAAUGUAUUCCUGGAUGAGGUAUUCUGUUGGAUCGGACAGUUCUCACAACUCAAACUAGACGAUCUCUAACAACCCCUCUUUGCAAUCAUGAUCGAUGAGAGGGAUGCCCAGAAAGUGUUUGAUACGACACCAUCCUGAAAUAGACAGUUCCGUUGGAACAAAUUAGUCAUAUAUCCUUGCGAGGAGUAAUUUUGGUGCUACCAAAUCGGCUUGUUAUGGGAACUGUACUCUCGGUUAUUUCCGAAUAGUUAUUGGGAGGAUAAAGGAGUAAGGAUGGUGGACUCAUGCAUCACAUUGCAUACAUUAUAUUCUUCGAUAUUGAUUCUAAAUGCUCGAGUUUUAUACUUCAUUCUUCAUUCUUAUAUGCUUGUAUGAUCACAUGAUAUAUUUGUACUCGUGUGUUGUCUUGGUGUAUUAUUCUGUGUAAUUCCACGACGUCGAUGACAAGUUUUUCAUAGAUGUUUUACUCCCUNNNNNNNNNNNNNNNNNNNNNNNNNNNNNNNNNNNNNNNNNNNNNNNNNNNNNNNNNNNNNNNNNNNNNNNNNNNNNNNNNNNNNNNNNNNNNNNNNNNNGGAAUAAGGUAAAAGUGAAAAUUAUUUGUAAGUUAUAGGUUACAUAAAAGAAAAGAAAACGGGAAAGAAAUAAAAAUUUACCUAUUUUUCUAAGAGAUUAAAUAUAUUAAAUAUGAAAUGAUUUUCGGGAUGUUACAUAAAGUGGUAUCAGAGCGGUUCAAUCCUAUCCGGGAUGACCUUGCAAUCUUACAUGCUUUCUUGUGUGACGUUUUUGAUUGUUUGAUUGUUUAUGGUCUUCAUUUGAAGAUGUAAAUGUUAUGAACUUACGAUUAGAGGAUUAACUCAUUUAAAUCUGAUGCAUUCAGAUUUCAAAUGGCUGGACGUGGAACUAUAAACUUGGACUUCAUGGCUGCAAUGAUGGUGGCGAUUUAGAGUCUGAAUGCUAACUUGCAUCAAUUUAAUCAACAACAACAACAGUCACAACAACCCCAACGACUUGCACUGUACAGGGGUUUGGAUGAGUUCAGUCGUCGCAACCCAGCUAAGUUUGAAAGUGGAUUUGCACCAGAUGGUGCUACGAACUCGAUCCAAGAGUUGGAGAGGAUUUUCAAGGUACUAAUGUGCACCAAGAAGCAGAAGGUCACGUAUGUGACCUACAUGCUGGCUAAAGAGGUUGAGAACUGGUGGGAGUUCAUUCAACGCCAGAUGGAGCACGAACAACAAGUUGUCAACUGGACAACUGAAUUAUAAUGUUUGAAUGAUUAUUAUGGGNNNNNNNNNNNNNNNNNNNNNNNNNNNNNNNNNNNNNNNNNNNNNNNNNNNNNNNNNNNNNNNNNNNNNNNNNNNNNNNNNNNNNNNNNNNNNNNNNNNNGUAAUAAUGCAAAAUACAUGUCCUUAGGGUAAUGAGUCCUAUCUUAUGUUGAUUUAGUCAUUAUUACGACAUAUGAAGUGUCACAAUGAGUUGCCACAUGUCAUAUAGUUCAGCAUAUGCCAGUGUAAAGAUGAGUUACUUUUAGAAUGGUGGAUCCUAUCAAGAGUACUUUAUCUUGCGUGAAGAUAAUAUGUGCCUUUGGUGUAGGGAUAUCAAUGUGCAAUGAUAUCCUAUACUAUUAGGGCUUAGGAUGAUGUUUGGGUCACUUUAUUUAAGGAAUAUUAGUCUCGCNNNNNNNNNNNNNNNNNNNNNNNNNNNNNNNNNNNNNNNNNNNNNNNNNNNNNNNNNNNNNNNNNNNNNNNNNNNNNNNNNNNNNNNNNNNNNNNNNNNNUAUUUUAAAAUGCAACUCAACCAAAUUGAUAUUAAAUUAAUUUGAUCUUGUUUGCUUAUUUUUAGAUUUCAAACUUAAUUUAUUCAUUGAUCAAAUUUUGAUGAAAUCAAUUCUCAAAAGAUUUAAAUAUUUUUAUCGUAGUGAUUUAUGUAACUAAAUCAAAUUGAUAUCAAAUUUAUUUGAUUUAAUAUAAUUUGCUUAUUUUAUAUUGCAAUUCUUAAUUUAUUUUUUGAUCAAAUUUUGAUGUAAGAAAAUCUCUAAUGAUUCAAACAUUUUAAUUAGUUAUUUUCGAUAUACUUUUCAGGUUUAUAUUUUUGUUAAUUUUUAUUCUAUAAAAUGAACUCAGUAAAAUUAGGUGUUCAUAGACUUCAGGUAGUAAAUAUAUGAAUAUUGUGUUAGAUGAGUGAACACAAUAGACAAUAUAAGAUUAGAAAUGAAAAUAUCAUUCGAGAAAAUUUGAGUAGCUCAUAUUAUAGAAAAGAUGAUAGUAUCGUGUCUUAGGUGAUUUAGGCAUUUGUGAAGAAAACUAGUAGAAACCCUUGUAGCUAUAGUAGAUCAAGUUCUUAGAAAUUGAGGAUACCAAAAAAUUAUAGGGAAAAUGAUAAAUAAAGACUUAAAAUUAAUGAUGUAUCAAUAAACAUAAUUUAUUAUAUAAUAUUAUAGUGUCGUUUGAUCCAUGUAAUCGAUCUGUGAGAUAAAAACUUAGUUGUUUUUUUNUUUUCUAUAUACAAUCAUAUAGUCUAAAACACAAAAAGGUGACUUAAUAAGAUAAGAUGUAAUAUAAACUUCAUUCCCAAAAGAGUAUAAAUUGAGAACCAUUCUCUACCAUUUCUUGUAUCUCUCAUAGCCUAUCUUUCUCUAAGCAUCCAUUUUCAUUGAGCCAUGUCUAACUCAAAAAUGUGAUGAAUAUAAUUUAGUUAAACAAAACAUGGUAUAUUGGGGAGACAAAACCAAAUAAUAUAUGAUGUUUUGUUUAACUUAAUUGCAUUUAUCACAUUUAUUGUUUAAAAGAUUACAUUUAUAUCUCAUGCAGGAGUUAUCAGUGUAAUGAACGUAAAAAUUUAUAGAGUUUGUGUUGGUGUAGAAAAGUGAGGAGUGAUUUAUGUAAUUUCGCUAGUGUUUUUGGUGUUAGUGUAAUUUACUCUAGUCUUUUUAGUGGGUGUUUGUGUAAUUUACUCUAGUCUUUUUGGUUGACUCUCCUCAUGUGCUUAAGUCCUAACAAUCGGUGCUUUCAUAGAAAAUUGUGUCAUGGAAAAGGACUACAUGUAGGAUUGAUUAAGGUAUAUUACCGAACAUUGAUAGGUAAGUGAAGCCACCAAAAGAGAAAAUGCUACUACCAUCAAGUCAGUAUCGAUAGAGUGAAAGAUGUCAUGGAUGUCAGCCCUUAAAGGGGACGGCAACGUUAAGAGUCCCACAAUGGGUAGCAUAAUAAACUCAAUAUGAUACUUAAGCCAAGAUGCUCUCUCACGUAAUAGGCUAGUAUUUUGGGUUGGCUAUCCUUAUAUGCUUAAGUCCUAACUCAUUAUUUAAAAUAAAGUUUUUAAUGAUUUCACAUUUUAAAUAUUUUUUAAUCUUACCUUAAGCAGAUUCUACUUUUAACUCAUUAUUAUUUAUUCUAAUAACAUUAAUCAAUUUUAUUUUUUAUUUAAAUUAAUACAUUAAAUCCAUCGUUUAAUAUUUUUUAUUUAAUUUUAUCGAAAUAAUGUUUUAGAUAAGUUCAUAUUUUAAUACUAACACAAGUGUUUUUUGUAAGACUAUUUUGAGUUUAUAUUUUUGGUGCUUUGUAAUAAUCUUCCCAAUCUACCAUUCCUAUCAUUAUUUGUCGUACAGAAAAUACAUGUAGCGAAAAUAACAAUAAUAAUUUGAUUAAUAAUAAUAAUAAUAAUAAUAAUAAUAAUAAUAAUUUGAUUGUUUAGUUUUGAAGAUUUUUAUGCUCAGAUUUGAGGGAAGAGUGAGUAAAAUUUUCUUGAACUUUUUGCCUUUGUGAGUUCUCGACUUAAACUAUUUUUUAUUCUUAAUUACCCAUUAAAUUUUACAUGUUCGUGAAAUUGGUUUCUAUAAAUAUUUUAUUAAAUUAGUCAAAGACAAUAGGGAAAUCGUUGCAAUGAGAAUUAUAAGAGUAACAGUGCAACAAUGUAAAUUAGUCAAUGUUGAUAUUCGACGAAAAUCGUCAUCAAAAUACAAAAAAUCAUAAAAUUUAAUAUAUUUUUAUAGACUUUUCCCUAUAUUUUAAGAGAAUUCCUUUAUAUCUAUUAUUUUAACAGUAGAUUAAAAUGAGAUUUUAUUAGAAGAGUUAAUGGGUAUGCAGAAGAAGUGGUGAUCUAUUCUACACAUGUCUAAAGAAAAGUUAAAACAAUAAAAUUAUAUACAUUAUUUAAUAUAUAUUAUGUAUAAGAAUAAUUAAAAGUUGUAUAUCUUGCUUUUAGAAUAUUCUAAAGAUUUAAGUAGAUUAAAUUUAUCAUUUCGUCCAAACAAAAACAUUAUUUCUAAUUUGUCAUAUAUUCUAAAUAAUUAUAAACUAUAUCGAAAUCAUAGUUUCUUCUUUUAUUUUUCACACUGGCUUCUCCUUAAUAUCUAUUGAUUUUACUUUAGCAACUAGUAUCCCAUGUAUUGUGUAUGCAUUCUUGAAUUUACCGUGCUUUAUAAAAUUUAUAAUAGAUUUAUUGAUCUUAAUAAAUUUAAGUUUUAACUAUAAAACAUAAUUCCACUUAUUACUAUAAAAUAGUUACGUUGUUGUAUGAGACCACAUUUUUUUUCAGAUUUAGCACUUUUGUUUUAUAAAAUCAAUGGCUAAUUACUUGAAUUCUUUUGUCAACAAAUUUGCAAAGAACAUUGAGUCUCUUUUUUUUUAUUUGCACUUAAUAUUUGACAUACAAGCUAUUUAUCAUACACUUUAUCAUACAUUAUAAAUUAACGAGGGCUAGAACACAUUUAUUUAAAAUUUUAAUUAUUUCUUAUUACAUAUUAAAAAAUUAAUUUUAAUUAUUUCUUACACUGUAUCCUUUGAAAUAUUCACUGUUCUAAUAAAAAAACUUAAAAUGGGUCAAACUAUCAUCAUUUAUUUUGGAGACAUGUAUAUAAUAUAAAGAUUUAAUAUUUAUAUUCUGUUUUUUAUACUGUCAGUAAAUCAUCCAUUAUUCAUAUGUUACUCAUCAUUGACUCUCAAACAAAAGUAAUACAAAUCAAUGGUGGAUGGUGUGCUGACAACAUAAAAAAAUUUAGACUAACGGUGUACACAUUUUAAACUCAUAAUAUAAUAUAAUAUUUGAUAUCACUAAGGGUCUCUCCUCACUUUUUGGGUAAUGAACUAAUCAUAGAUGCCCCUCCCAACAAAUUUUGUUCCUAGUAAUCGAACAAUUAAUCUUGGGGAUCCAAUUGGAUCAUACACCAUUAGACUAACGCCUAUUAGUUAUUAUAAGAUAUUAUAAGAUCGUACAGAUAUAGAUAGAAAGUAGCAAAAAAAUUUAAUGAAUGGAAAAACAAUUAUGUAGAAUAAGUAGAAGAUAAAAAUAAGGGCCUAAAUAUUCCUUAAGAGCUUACGCGUGAAAAUUACGAAUUCAACUCGUAAUCAGAAUUAGUUCACUUCUCCUUUGAUGAUCAUGUCUCUUUUUGGUGCAACACUAAUUUUGAUUAACAAAAGUUAAUUGUUACCAAAUUAUUUUGUCGUUUUUUUAAUCAUUAUCAUCAAUUGUUGUAUCUAUUCACAAAAGGAAUUCAUAUAAUGUAGCAAUGUUUUCUUUGAUUUAUCAUUAAUACACAAAGAUAUUACCAAUUUCGAAUUGUUUUUUAUAUGUAUGAUGAACACAUGAAUUUCAUGCUCAAGUGCUAGCAUAAAAUAUUAUAUUCUUUGUAUAAAUAUUACAUAUAUACCAAUAAUAUGAGUAUAAAUUUACAUUCAUUUAACCUUAUAAAACUAUUCUGUCAUUCAAACAAAGAUAAGAAUGAAAUAAUUAAUGAACAUUUAACCUUAUAAAACUAUUCUGUCAUUCAAACAAAGAUAAGAAUGAAUUAAUUAAUGAUUUUUUUCUAUAUACAAUCAUAUAGUCUAAAACACAAAAAGGUGACUUAAUAAGAUAAGAUGUAAUAUAAACUUCAUUCCCAAAAGAGUAUAAAUUGAGAACCAUUCUCUACCAUUUCUUGUAUCUCUCAUAGCCUAUCUUUCUCUAAGCAUCCAUUUUCAUUGAGCCAUGUCUAACUCAAAAAUGUGAUGAAUAUAAUUUAGGUAAACAAAACAUGGUAUAUUGGGGAGACAAACCAAAUAAUAUAUGAUGUUUUGUUUAACUUAAUUGCAUUUAUCACAUUUAUUGUUUAAAAGAUUACAUUUAUAUCUCAUGCAGGAGUUAUCAGUGUAAUGAACGUAAAAAUUUAUAGAGUUUGUGUUGGUGUAGAAAAGUGAGGAGUGAUUUAUGUAAUUUCGCUAGUGUUUUUGGUGUUAGUGUAAUUUACUCUAGUCUUUUUAGUGGGUGUUAGUGUAAUUUACUCUAGUCUUUUUGGUUGAUUCUCCUUAUGUGCUUAAGUCCUAACAAUCGGUGCUUUCAUAGAAAAUUGUGUCAUGGAAAAGGACUACAUGUAGGAUUGAUUAAGGUAUAUUACCGAACAUUGAUAGGUAAGUGAAGCCACCAAAAGAGAAAAUGCUACUACCAUCAAGUCAGUAUCGAUAGAGUGAAAGAUGUCAUGGAUGUCAGCCCUUAAAGGGGACGGCAACGUUAAGAGUCCCACAAUGGGUAGCAUAAUAAACUCAAUAUGAUACUUAAGCCAAGAUGCUCUCUCACGUAAUAGGCUAGUAUUUUGGGUUGGCUAUCCUUAUAUGCUUAAGUCCUAACUCAUUAUUUAAAAUAAAGUUUUUAAUGAUUUCACAUUUUAAAUAUUUUUUAAUCUUACCUUAAGCAUAUUCUACUUUUAACUCAUUAUUAUUUAUUCUAAUANNNNNNNNNNNNNNNNNNNNNNNNNNNNNNNNNNNNNNNNNNNNNNNNNNNNNNNNNNNNNNNNNNNNNNNNNNNNNNNNNNNNNNNNNNNNNNNNNNNNUAACCCAAAGAAGAACAAGGGUCGUAGAAGGAUUGAGAUGAAAAUGAUAGCCAAAGACAGCAACCUACAAGUCACAUUCUCCAAACGCCGCACUGGGUUAUUUAAGAAAGCGAGCGAGUUUUGCACUCUUUGUGAUGCAAAAGUUGGGCUAGUUGUCUUUUCUCCUGCAAACAAGGCUUUCUCUUUUGGCGACCCUAUAUUGAUGCUAUUGUAGACCGCUAUCAAAUGAGGGACCAACCACUGNNNNNNNNNNNNNNNNNNNNNNNNNNNNNNNNNNNNNNNNNNNNNNNNNNNNNNNNNNNNNNNNNNNNNNNNNNNNNNNNNNNNNNNNNNNNNNNNNNNNAAUCCAAAAUGAAAUGAAAUAGCAAUGCUAAGCAAAGACAAAAUUCUCAAAAGGAAACAAGAUCAACAAUUUCCAUUAGCUAGGAAAGGAUAAUCUAAGGUUCUAAGGCUUCCUAUCUAAGGAUAAGAUGGAGGAUUCUGGUUGUCAGGAGUCAACGAGCUACAACCACGCUCUAUUAAGACACUCAACCUGUUGAGCUCAUCACACAUUCUUCUGGUCUGAGAAUCAGAAGUAGUCUGAAUGAAGUUCUGCAAGGAUUGAUAAUGGUUGUCAAUGUACUCAUUAUGACGAUCCUCAAAAUGUUCCAAAUCCGUAUGAUACGAAUCCUUAAGCGACUGAAAAUGAAGAUCUAUCCGAUUAUUCAAACGUUGUUCCAUAGCAUCCAUAUAAGCUUGUCGAAACACGAAUUCCUGUGAUGCGUGUCCUGAAUGCUCCCCUUGAGUUGUAGCAAAAGGCUCUUGAUUAAUGUCUUGAUCAUUUUCAUCGGAAGGGUCAAGGUUCACAUUAUUGUAGUCUUCUUGAUAUUGCCAAGUGUUGCCAUACUUGUAGAUGCCCAUUUUGUGAAUUAAACUCUCACUAAUCAAGUGAUCUUUGUCUGAGCAGUCCAUCACAAUCGUAUACGAGAUGUCAAUAUGUAGAUAAUCAAUCACUCGGGACACAAAGAUACUAUAAGGAAGCAGUUUUGAUUGAGAGGUAGAGACGCUAUACAUGACCUUCAGAAUUUCUGCUGGCCAAUUUAUCAUUAUGGUCUCUUUCACAGCAAACAUAAACCUCAAAUCAUUCAAGGUAGGUUGUGCAUGAUUUGUGUUUCUCUGAAUUAAAAUGUAGGCAAUCAAGUAGUGCAGGAGCCUAUUUUCUACCGACAGAGAUCCAGCUUUAGUCAGUUCGCGUUGUACAAAGAGUUGUGGUCUACGCAGGCAUGACUUAUACAUUUCAACAGCAUCGAAGGAGUGGUUGUUUGCCCAACCACAAUUACUCAAACUAGCACCAGAUGCAGCUAAUCCACCCACAUUCAUAAAGACUUCUUUAGUAAUUUCGAACAACUUUCCAGCUAUCAUCGACCAAUAUUUCCCAUUUUUAUAUCUAAAAUUCGAGUAAAAAUCUCUAACUAGAGCAGGGUAAAUGUUACCUUUCAGUUCCAUGAAGGGGACAACCCCUUGAGAUUGAAAACGAAUCGGGAACUCGAAGUUUUGUUCCACAAGCCAAUCCACAUUAUCAAACCGAAUGUAUGUAGGUUUUCUUCCCUGAAACUUCUGCAUUUUAAUCACCAUGUUUGACACAUUCAAAGAGAUCAUGCAAGACAAUCAGAAAAGAAGAAUUAAUCAAGAUAUUUUUCAUCAAGGAUUCCUAGUUCUCUUCGAAGAACAUAGAAAGUAUCUCGUGAGAAGGGCUUGGUGAAAAUAUCUGCUAGUUGUUUAGAAGUUUCAACAAACUCUAAUAUGCAAUCACCUUUUUGAACAUGAUCACACAAGAAAUAGUGUCUUAUCUCAAUAUGCUUUGUUCUAGAAUGCAAAACGGGAUUCUUGGAAAGGUUAAUGGCACUCGUGUUAUCACACUUAAUUGGGAUCUUUUCUAAUAUGAGCCCAAAGUCCUUAAGUUGCUGCUUCAUCCAAAGGAUUUGAGCGCAACACACGCCAGCGGCAAUGUAUUCCACUUCAGCGGUGGACAAAGCAACACACACUUGCUUUUUGUUGUACCAUGCAACCAGGGAUCUGCCUAAUAGGUGACAAGUCCCACUAGUGCUUUUAUGAUCCAACUUACACCCAGCGAAGUCGGAAUCGGAGUAACCUACCAAGGAUAAGGAGGCAUCCCUAGGAUACCAUAAUCCCAUAUUUAUUGAUCCUUUUAGAUAUCUGAUGUUAUGUUUUACAACACUAAAAUGUGAUUCUUUUGGCAAAGCUUGAAACCUAGCACACAUACAAAUGCUAAACAUGAUAUCGGGGCGGCUAGAAGUUAAGUAUAAUAAGGAGCCGAUUAUCCCACGAUAUUUGGUUACCUCAAUAGCUUUUCCUGCUUCAUCUUUGUCCAGAUAACAUGCAGAUGCCAUAGNNNNNNNNNNNNNNNNNNNNNNNNNNNNNNNNNNNNNNNNNNNNNNNNNNNNNNNNNNNNNNNNNNNNNNNNNNNNNNNNNNNNNNNNNNNNNNNNNNNNUUUCCAUUUGUUUAAUUUGAAGCCCAAGGAAGAAAGUCAGCUCACCCAUCAUCGACAUAUCAAACUCCCCCUACAUCAACUCGGAAAAUUCCUUACAAAGGAUGUCAUUAGUAGAUCCGGAGAUAAUAUCAUCAACAUAUAUUUGUACAAGUAAAACAUGAUUAUUUGAUCUACUAAUGAAGAGAGUGGUGUCGACCAAACCUCUUUCAAACCCUUUUUCAAGUAGGAACGAACUCAAUCUUUCGUACCAGGCUCUGGGAGCCUGUUUUAGGCUAAGAGGGCCUUCUUGAGUUUAUAUACGUGGUUCGGGUCUUUGAAGGUUUCAAACCCCGGUGGUUGGUCAACAUACACCUCCUCUUGAAUAUAUCCAUUUAAAAAUGCACUUUUAACAUCCAUUUGAAAUAGUUUAAAGUUCAUGAUUGAUCCAAAAGACAAUAGCAUCCUAAUGGCCUCAAGUCUGGCUACAGGAGCGUAGGUCUCAUCAUAAUCGAUGCCCUCCUCCUGGUUGUAGCCCUUGGNNNNNNNNNNNNNNNNNNNNNNNNNNNNNNNNNNNNNNNNNNNNNNNNNNNNNNNNNNNNNNNNNNNNNNNNNNNNNNNNNNNNNNNNNNNNNNNNNNNNAUAGCUCCCACCAAAACUCAUUAUUUGUGAUGGUCCAAAUAAGUCCAUAUGGAGAAGCUCCAAUGGUCUAGUAGUGGAUAUCACAUUCUUUUUCUUAAAUGAAUUCCUGACUUGUUUACAUUUUUGACACAUGUCACAGGAAUCUUGUGUUUCAAAAUCGAGUUUUGGAAGACCAAUUACUAAAUUAUUUUUCGAUAGUUUUUCUAAAUGCUUUACAUGUAUAUGAGUGACGCGUCUAUGCCAAAGCCAGAUGUCAUCUUCUUUUGAAAUAAAACAUUUUGAAAAUAAAGAAGUGACAUCUUCCAGAUUAACCAUAUAAAUAUUAUUUACUCGAUACCAGACAAAUUUAACAUUAUUAGAUAAUACAUCACGGAUGAUACAACAGUUAGAAUCAAAAGACCCGAUAUUACCUUUGUCGCAUAGUUGGCUUAUACUCAACAAAUCAUGUUCCCAACCUUCUACGUAUAGAACGUUGUCAAUUAUUGUGUGGGUUGAGUUGCCAAUCUUUCCAGUGCCCAAGAUUCUUCCUUUGUUGUUGUCUCCAGAAGUGACAAAUCCCUUUUCCUUUAACGACAAGUCUAGGAAUUUGGACUUGUUCUCAGUCAUAUGUCUCGAACAGCCGCUAUCAAGAUACCAGUUUUGUCCGUGUGUUUGAAGACAUACCUAACAAAUAGAUCAUCUGCUAGACUCAGGUACCCAAGUUAUGUUGGGUCCUUUUGUGUUAGUAAUGAGGGAGCUUUGUCCCUUUCUUACCCAAGUGUAAACGCCACUAGGUAUCCCAUAUCUCCUGAUGUAACAUGAAUGAGAUGUAUGGGCAUAUGUGCCACAUUAAGGACAAGUAGGGACUCUAUUUUUAAUUUUAUUUUUGUAUUGAUGUGUUAGAGGUCUUCUAUAAGGUCUCUUUUUAUGGGAUGGGGGAACAUAACCUAACCCAGUAUGAUUACCAACAUUACUAGUUUUGCUAAGCAGAGUAUCUAAUUGUUGUGUACUAUUUGUAAGUUUUGCGAGUUUUUCAUUUAAUUUAAAAUUUUCGUUUUUCAAUUCCUCGCAAGACUCACAAGUAGUAUUUUGACAUAAGUUAAUUUUCGAGCAGUCACAUGAAGUACAAGAAAAAAUUAGAUCUAAGGUUUCAUUUUCCAAUUUUAAUUCGUCUAAUUCUUUCUGCAAUUGGUUUAUCUUUUGUUGGUUUAGCAAAAUAAUUCGUUUUCUCUCGUUGCUUACUUUUGCUAAUUUUUUAAGUUCUUCAUGCAUCUCAAUAUAAGCACUAUAUAAUAUUUCAUAUGAGGGAGAAUUAGUAGAGGAUGAUGUAUCAGAAUAUACCUCAUCUGAAGUAUCCUUGUUGUCAUUAAGCGUAACUUUGCGGUCUCCUCUUCAUCUGAGGUGCUUGAUGUUGUUUCUUCCUCGGGUACGUCCCAUACAAUGUAUGCUUUCUUUGGCUUGAGUUCUCGGGGAGUGCUCUAUUCUGAAUCAAUCCUUUUUAAGUAAGUGGGGCACUGAUACUUCAUNNNNNNNNNNNNNNNNNNNNNNNNNNNNNNNNNNNNNNNNNNNNNNNNNNNNNNNNNNNNNNNNNNNNNNNNNNNNNNNNNNNNNNNNNNNNNNNNNNNNUAGCAGAACAAGCAAAUUGCACGACAAUUAAGAUACACUUUAAACAGAUACAUUUUAGAUAUUUUUGCAUAAAAGUGUUAACUAUAUAGCACUAAACAAAUAUCCAAAUUCUCAAGAAUAUAUUCAGUGUAUCAAUGUAAGAAACAAAAGAAAGAUAAAGAAAGAAAGAACAGUGCAAAAAGAACGGUUCACUGCAAACUGCAUCUAGGCCUCCCCUUCUGGAUCAAGGAUAUUUUCUUUCUUCACAAUAUUGAAUUAUAUAACGUCUGCAAUUUUCUAUUCUUUUAAUAUGUGAAUUAAAAAUAUUGAUUUACUUUUGUAUAUUUAUCUAAAGAUAAUUAUGAUUUUUUAGAAUAGUUGUAAAUCUUUUAGUGUUUAUUUAAUGGGGUUAUGAUUUUUGUGCUAUUCGAAAAAGAAGUUAUUUUAUUGGUUACCUAACGUUCAAGUGAAUAUAUAUAUCAUCUCGUAAUGAGUUUUUGUAAAAAUAAUGUUUUUUAAAAAGGUAAUUUGUGUUAGAAGUAUUAUUUUAUCGUUAUGUUGAAUUAUUCAUAAUCUUAGAAGUACUAUACUUCAAGUAUUUCUUUUUUUAUAAUAAUUUACUACGUAAUAUCUCCUAUAUUAUUUAUUGUAACAUUAUCUUUCUUGUGAUUCUUGAGUAAAUUGGUUAUGAUUAUCAUAAUGUUUAUCAUUUCAUAUCAUCAUCUUUAUCAUUUAAUCAUUUUAUCCCAAAUUACAAAUGUUUAUUUCUAUUAUAUGUUUAUUAGUAAUACCAAAUUAAGAUAUCUAUACCAUUAUAUAAAGGCAAAACAAUUGUUAACUGCCAGUGAUGGAGUAAUUUUAACAUUCCAAUUUUAGCUUUGCUCUAUUAUUAAAGUAACUUCCAUAUUCUACCCAAAUUUUAAACUGCAAAACAAAAGUGAUAUGCUAAGAUAAUAAAAUACAUAGUAUAACCACCACACUAUGGUGUAAUUUCUAAAUCUCUAUUUUACCCCUCACUAUUUUUUAAUUUCUACCAAAAGUUUCUUCUAUUGUUUCUACCAUAGAAGAAAUAUCCAACUUCAUUAAAAAUGGAAAAUAAUAGGAAACUCCAAAAACCCAUAAGAUAAACAAAUCACAUAUCCUCACAGCAUCACCUCAUUGAUCAUCAAUCAAUAUACCAUCUCAGCAGCAUCAAGAGAAACCAGAAUCAUGGAUCACUCUGAUAAUACAAAAAAUAAUAAACAAACAUCCAUAAGCACAUAUUUAGAGUAUGUCAACUGCAAUGCAGAUUUUAAACAAUAAAAACCAACUGGGUAAACCGAUCAUGCAAAAUCAUCGUCAUCAUGGGUAAAAACUUAGCAAAGAUAAUGCCACAUUUUAUGCCAUUUAAAAAACUGAACACCAAUACCACCAACUUACCAAACUGCCAUUAUUUACACCAAUUAAUAAAAAAGGUUUUCAACAGUUACAAAACUGCCAUUUUCCAUAUCAUGGCAAUAUUCAAGGGCAUUUUUCAUUAUGACGUGGCAACACCUGCUUAUUACUAUACAUACACCUUCCACUAUAGUCAUUGAAUACAUAAUUUGAAUAAAAAAAAACCUGAUUGAAUACAUAAUUCCCCUUAAGCAAGAACAUACUGCUAUUUAGUACUACUCAUCUUGGCUUGGAAUUUGUUUCAUUAGAACUAAUAAUUUAUUCCUCAUUUCAGGUAUUUCUCAUCCUUUCUCUAUUUCUUUUUUCAUUUUUCUCUCUACUAUAACAAAUUUAAGAUCUCUUAAUAACCAAUAACUCACCAAAACUACUACUUUUAUUAUGUUGUUUAUUGAAGAACAUGCUACUACUACUACUCNNNNNNNNNNNNNNNNNNNNNNNNNNNNNNNNNNNNNNNNNNNNNNNNNNNNNNNNNNNNNNNNNNNNNNNNNNNNNNNNNNNNNNNNNNNNNNNNNNNNUUGGCCAAAGAUGAAACAAGAUGUACAAAACCAUUGUAAAAAAUGUGUGACAUGCAAGAAAUCUAAAUCAAAGAUAAUGCCUUAUGGUCUUUACUCUCCUUUGAAUGUUCCCGAAUCACCAUGGGUAGAUAUAUCUAUGGAUUUUGUCUUAGAACUACCUACAAUCAAAACGGGUAAGGAUUCUAUCUUCGUAGUGGUAGAUAGAUUUUCCAAAAUGGCACACUUUAAUCCUUGCAAAAAGGUAGAUGAUGCUAAUCACAUUGCUGAUUUGUUUUUCAGGGAAAUUGUUAGGCUUCAUGGCCUGCCCAGGACUCUAGUGAGUGAUAGGGAUAUGAAAUUCCUUAGUCUCUUUUGGAGGACACUAUGGGGAAAGCUUGGGACAAAGCUUCUAUUCUCAACAACUUGCCACCCCCAAACCGAUGGACAACCCGAGGUGGUAAAUAGAAAUCAAUGAUGGAUGGUGUGCUGACAACAUACAAAACUUUAUACUAACGGUGUACAGAUUUUAAACUCAUAAUACAAUAUAAUAUUUUAUAUUACAAAGGGUCUCCUCACUUUUUGGGUAAUGAACUAAUCAUAGAUGCCCCUCUCAACAAAUAUUGUUCCCAGUAAUCAAACCAUUAACCUUGGGGAUCCAAUUGGAUCAUACACCAUUAGACUUAUGCCUAUUACUUAUUAUAAUAUAAUAUAAGAUAUUAUAAGAUCGUACAAAUGUAGAUAGAAAGUAGCGAAAAAAUUUAUUGAAUGGAAAAACAAUUAUGUAGAAUAAGUAGAAGAUAAAAAUAAGGGCCUAAAUAUUCCUUAAGAGCUUACGCACGAAAAUUACGAAUUCAACUCGUAAUCAGAAUAAGGUCACUUCUCCUUCGAUGAUCAUGUCUCGUUUUGGAGCAUCACUAAUUUUGAUUAACAAAAGGUAAUUGUUACCAAAUUAUUUUGUUGUUUGUUUAAUCAUUAUCAUCAAUUGUUGUGUCUAUUCACAAAAGGAAUUCAUAUAAUGUAGCAAUGCUUUCUUUGAUUUAUCAUUAAUACACAAAAAUCUUUCCAAUUUCGAAUUGUUUUAUUUAUGUAUGAUGAACACAUGAAUUUCAUGCUGAAGUGCAAACAUAAAAUAUUAUAUUCGUUGUAUAAAUAUUACAUAUAUACCAAUAAUAUGAGUAUAUAUUUACAUUCAUUUAACCUUAUAAAACUAUUCUGUCAUUCAAACAAAGAUAAGAAUGAAAUUAUUAAUGUAUUUUUUCUAUAUACGUGCAUUUAGUCUAAAACACAAAAAGGUGACUUAAUAAGAUAAGAUAUAAUAUAAACUUCAUUCCCAAAAGAGUAUAAAUUGAGAACCAUUCUCUACCAUUUCUUGUAUCUCUCAUAGCCUAUCUUUCCCUAAGCGUCCAUUUUCUUUGAGCCAUGUCUAACUCAAUCCCUAGCUCUAGUAAUCCAAUCCCUAGGUCUAGUAACCCCAAAAAGAACAAGGGUCGUAGAAGGAUUGAGAUGAAAAUGAUAGCCAAAGACAACAACGAACAAGUCACAUUCUCCAAACGCCGCACUGGGCUAUUCAAGAAAGAAGCGAGCGAACUUUGCACUCUUUGUGAUGCAAAAGUUGCGUUAAUAACAUGAAUAAUUUUUGUUUAUUUAAAUUAAUACAUUAAAUCUAUCGUUUAAUGUUUUUUAUUUAAUGUUAUUAAAAUAAUGUUUUAGAUAAGUUCAUAUUUUAAUACUAACCCAAGUGUUUUUUAUAAGACUAUUUUGAGUUUAUAGUUUUGGUCAUUUGUAAUGAUCUUCCCAAUCUACCAUUCAUAUACAUUUCUAUCAUUAUUUGUCGAACAGAAAAUACGUGUAGCGAAAAUAACAAUAAUAAUUUGAUUAAUAAUGAUAAUAAUUUGAUUGUUUAGUUUUGAAGAUUUUUACCUUAGAUUUGAGGGAAAAGUGCGUAAAAUUCUCUUGAACUUUUUACCUUUGUGAGUUCUCGACUUAAACUAUUUUUUAUUCUUAAUUACCCAUUAAAUUUUACAUGUUUGUGAAAUUGGUUUCUAUAAAUAUUUUAUUAAAUUAGUCGAAGACAAUAAGGAAAUUGUUGCAAUCAAAACUAUAAGAAUAACAGUGCAACAAUGUAAAUUAGUAAAUGUUAAUAUUCGAAGAAAAUCAACAUCAAAAUACAAAAAAAUCAUAAAAUUUAAUAAUUUUUAUAGACUUUUCCCUAUAUUUUAAGAGAAUUCCUUUCUAUCUAUUAUUUUAACAGAAAAUUAAAAUGAGAUUUUAUUAGAGGAGUUAAUGGGUAUGUAGAAGAAGUGGUGAUCUAUUCCACACAAGUCUAAAGAAAAGUUAAAACAAUAAAAUAAUCUACAUAUUUAAUAUUUAUUAUGUAUAAUAAUAAUUAAAAGUUGUAUAUCUUACGUUUAGAAUAUUCUAAAGAUUUAAGUAGAUUAACUUUAUCCUUUCGCCCAAACAAAAACAUUAUUUCUAAGUUGUCAUAUAUUCUAAAUAAUUAUAAACUAUAUCGAAAUCACAGUUUCUUCUUUUAUUUUUCACACAUGCUUCUCCUUCAUAUCUAUUGAUUAUACUUUAGCAGCUAGUAUCCCAUGUAUUGUGUAUGCAUUCUUAAAUUUACCGUGCUUUAUAAAAAUUAUAAUAGAUUUAUUGAUCUUAAUAAAUUUAAGUUUUAACUAUAAAACAUAAUUCCGGUUAUUACUAUAAAAAACUUACGUUGUUGUGUGAGACCAUAUUUUUUUAAGAUAUAGCACUUUUGAUUUAUAAAAUCAAUGGUUAAUUACUUGAAUUUUUUCGUGAAUAAAUUAGUAAACAACAUUUGAGUCUUUUUAUUUAUUUAUACUUAAUAAUUGACAUGCUAGCUAUUUAUCAUACACUGUAUCAUACAUUAUAAAUUAACGACACCUAGAACACAUUUAUUUAAAAUUUUAAUUAUUUCUUAUUAAAUAUUAAAAAAAUAAAUUUAAUUAUUUCUUAUACUGUAUCCUUUGAAGUAUUCACUGUUCUAAUAAAAAAAAUUAAAAUGGGUCAAACUAUCAUCAUUUAUUUUGGAGACAUGUAUAUAAUAUAAGGAUUUAAUAUUUAUAUUCUGAUAGUGUAAAUGUUUUUUAUACAGUCAGUCAAUCAUCCAUUAUUCAUAUGUUAAUCAUCAUUGACCCUCAAACAAAAGUAAUACAAAUCAAUGGUGGAUGGUGUGCUGAUAACAUAAAAAAGUUUACACUAACAGUAUAAAUAUUUUAAACUCAUAAUAUAAUAUAAUAUUUGAUAUUACUAAGAGUCUCUCCUCACUUUUUGGGUAAUGAACUAAUCAUAGAUGCCCCUCCCAACUAAUGUUAUUCCCAGUAAUCGAACCAUUAACUUUGGGGAUCCAAUUGGAUCAUACACCAUUAGACUAACGCCUAUUAGUUAUUAUAAUAUAAUAUAAGAUAUUAUAAGAUCGUAGAAAUAUAGAUAGAAUGUAGCAAAAAANNNNNNNNNNNNNNNNNNNNNNNNNNNNNNNNNNNNNNNNNNNNNNNNNNNNNNNNNNNNNNNNNNNNNNNNNNNNNNNNNNNNNNNNNNNNNNNNNNNNUCUUUGUAUAAAUAUUACAUAUAUACCAAUAAUAUGAGUAUAUAUUUACAUUCAUUUAAUCUUAUAAAACUAUUUUGUCAUUCAAACAAAGAUAAGAAUGAAAUAAUUAAUGAAUUUUUUUCUAUAUACAUGCAUUUAGUCUAAAACACAAAAAGGUGACUUAAUAGGAUAAGAUGUAAUAUAAACUUCAUUCCCAAAAGAGUAUAAAUUGAGAACCAUUCUCUACCCUUUCUUGUAUCUCUCAUAUCCUAUCUUUCCCUAAGCAUCCAUUUUCAUUGAGCCAUGUCUAACUCAAUCCCCAGCUCCAGUAACCCAAUCCCUAGCUCUAGUAACCCAAUCCCAAGCUCUGGUGACCUAAUCCCUAACUCUAGUAACCCAAAGAAGAACAACGGUCGUAGAAGGAUUGAGAUGAAAAUGAUACCCAAAGACAGCAACCUACAAGUCACAUUCUCCAAACUCCGCACUGGGCUAUUCAAGAAAGCGAGCGAGCUUUGCACUCUUUGUGAUGCAAAAGUUGGGCUAGUUGUCUUUUCUCCUGCAAAGAAGGCUUUCUCCUUUGGCGACCCUAGUAUUGAUGCUGUCAUAGACCGCUAUCAAAUGAGGGACCAACCACUGAACCUGGUGAACAUGCAAUAUCUUGAGGCUCACAAAAAUGCUAAUGUUCAGGAGCUUAAUGAUAAGAUUAAUCGGAUCAAUGAAGAUCUUGAGAAUGAGAAGAAGUGCAGUGAAUAGUUGGCUAAGCAAAGGAAAAAGGCACAAGAACAUUUCUGGUGGGCUGCUCCAAUUGAAGAGAUCAAUGGAGAACGAGUUGAUCAAUUGAAGUCGGCUCUUGAGAAUCUAAAGAAGAAUGUGCUUGGUGUUGUUGAAAGGCAGAAUAUUGUCGAGGCUGCUGCUACUAUUGCUGCUGCUAUAUCACAUCCUCUUCACUUUUUUACAGGUGGUGCAUCUUCUUCAAACAACCCUUUGCCACCACCACCUCAGCCACCAACUCAGGAGUUUCAGGUGCAGCCGCCACCGCCACCUCAACAAUAUCCUGUGAAUCCACAACAACCACCUCAACAGUUUAGGCAUCCACAACCACCACCUCAGCAGUUUAUGCAGCCACAACCACUACCUCUGCAGUUUCCGAUUUAUCCACCACCACCACCAUAUAUGCUUCAGAACCAGUCCAUGAUGCUGCCAAAUAAUUUGUUCAAUGGUGGCAUGAAUGGCAUGAUGAAUCAGCAUGCCUUCAAUAAUAAUAAUAUGGGAGGAUAUGGACCUACAUAUGGAUUCUUUUGAUCCAUUUCAAUCCAAAUCCAGCCGAAUCCAAAUCUUCUUUACCAAAAGGUUUUUAUGCUUCUAUACCAACCCAAUGAUGUUUUGCUAACUACUUAAAUGUGUCACUAUGAUAAUUAAUGACAACUAAAAUGAGGUGUGCUAUUUAUUACUAGGCAAAAUCUUAUUAGGUUGGUAUAGAGGCAUACAAAACUUAUGGUAUGGAAAAUUUGGGUUCAAAAUAUGCCCUAUCUUUCUUUUCAAUAAUUUACUGUAUUUCAAUUUCUAUAUUUACAGGUUAGUAUAGAGGCAUAAAAAACUUAUGGUAUAGAAAAUUUGGGUUCAAAAUAUGCCCUAUCUUUCUUUUCAAUAAUUUAAUGUAUUUCAAUUUCUAUAUUUACCAGUUUCAUAGUUGGGACUGAUAAGGGUUUGGAAUUUCAUUAUGUUGCUUGUCUUGUCUGUUUAUGGCAUGUCUGUCAUAAUCUUUGUCAUUUUUUACUUAUGAAUGUAUUAUCAAAUAAAGGGCAUAUUUCUUUUUAAUAUUUCAAGAUCUCUUUCAAUAUUGUGUAUUAUGAUAACAUGUUUAGGGCUCUCAAAUUAUGAACUCCCAAAACAAAAUAAAUAAUGAAUAUUAUUGCUAAAACUAACUGGAAUUGAUUAAACAUAAAUGUGCCUUAUGAUAUAAUAUUUUCUUAACUUCAAUUCUAUCAUAUUUAUACUAAUACUAAAUCCACCAUACAUGCAAUCUAACUGUUAAAUAAAAAAGUGAAUCAUUGGAAAAAAUAUGGACGACGAAGAUAUUUGUUUUAUUUAAAUUAACUAAAAUUUAUUAAAAUGUUUGUAUUGAUCGAGUUUUAUAUGAUUAUAACUAAUGAGAAUAAAGUAUCUCCUCGUAUAAGGAGAAAGUUAUCUCCCUCAGUCAGUGAAAUCAUGACAUGUGAUCUAUUUCAUCAUUUUCUAUACAAAAAAUUCUAAAACUAAAUAAAAUAGUACACAUGUCAUACUUUUACUAGCUUAAGAAGAUAAGUUAUCUCUUAAUGUGAGGAGAUACAUUAUUCUCAUAACUAAUAUAGUAAAACCUUAUUAGGAUCCUUGAAAGGUCUGCAACCAAUGAACUAGAAUUCGCAUUUAAUAACGCUCAUUCAAAAAUUUAUGUGUGUUUCAUAAUGUUAAAUGUAAGGCUGAAGGUAAUUAACAAAAUUCGGUGAAGCAAACACUGUUAAAUGUGAUAGAUAAAUGUGCAAUCAACAACGCCUAAUGAAGCAACUAUUGUUGUUUUUAUGACACGGAGAUUCAACAUCGUUUAGUUAAGUGGGUGUUGUUGAAAGUGACAUAGCACUUUGUAUAGUGAGUGUUGUUGAAUGACAUAUUUUAAAUAUUGGCGUUUCGUGUAACCUAACUACAUAAAUGUAGUUAUAUACACUAGUAAACAGAUUAUACAAUAGUUAGGAAAGAAUGAACUAAUUUUUUCCUAAGUAUUAUUGUAGAUUAUAUUAGUUUGGUAGUCUGUAUAGAUAGAUAUACAAGUGUAUAUAUAUAUAUAUAUAUGUAUUGCAAACUACUUGUAUAUAGUUGGAUUGUUGAGAUUGUGAAAUAGAAAAUGUAAUUAUUGUUGCCGAAAUAAAUGAGAUUGUUUAUAUUUGUCAUAACAUUGUGUUAUUAUAUGUGUUUUGUGUUGUUUGAUAUAUACGUGACAAUAUACUAAAUGUUUUUGAUUUAUCCUACCGGAACUGUUUGAUAUAACAGUACUAUUUGAUGUAGUGUUAUAUCAAAUAGUAUUGUCAUAAGAAUCAACAUUUACUGUAGCAAGUGUUGUAAAUAUGUUGACAUUUCACACUUUCAACAACACUUACUUAAGGAAGUUCUGUUGAUAGUGGCAUAUUCAACAACGCUUGCUUGAGGAAGUUUUAUUGAAAGUGACAUAUUAAAUAACGCUUUCUAGAACAAGCACCAGUGAAAUUGAUAUAUACAACAAUUCUUACUUGACAAAACACUGUUGAAAAUGACACAUUUAGCAAUGCUUUCUAGGGCAAGUGCUAUUGAAAGUGACACAUUCAACAACCUUUCUUCAAGCGAGAACUAUUGAAUGUGUCACUUUCAACAUCGAUUUUAAAAGUACAGUUGAACCUAGCCUUUAUUCUACUGUGAUUACAUUAAUAUUACCUGCAAGCAUUGUUGAUUGUCAAAUUUAAGCAUUAUUGUUUUGCAAUUUUAACAUAUUUCAAAAUAUACAUCAAGAUCGUCUUUGAAACUAAUGUGACAUUUUAGAUACAUCACAUGUGGUAUUCGACAUGCAUCUCACGUUAGCCUCAAAGACAAAANNNNNNNNNNNNNNNNNNNNNNNNNNNNNNNNNNNNNNNNNNNNNNNNNNNNNNNNNNNNNNNNNNNNNNNNNNNNNNNNNNNNNNNNNNNNNNNNNNNNUUCUUCAUUGAUCCUAGCCUUAUAAUGAAUAUCUCUUAUUUUCUGAGAUUCCUCUCACAGAGAGCUUAGUACAAUAGCUCGUGAGAGGUCAUAUUUGAAAAAAAAACAAAAUCUAGAGUCUAACAAAUUUAAUGCAAAGUGCUAGAGAUUGAAAAGAAUGAAUUAGCUUUACGAGAAUGAACAUACUUGUCUAGUGUUAAAUAGGUGUAAUUAAAUUCUGAUUAAAAUUUCCAAAAUGGGGGUUCAUCGAUUCAAAUUAUUGUAACACUUUUAGAUAUACAACAAAGAGGAAUAAAACUCGGAUCCCUAAACUUAGUAUAUAAGGAAUUUUGACUAAAAGUGUUGCUUGUGCAUGAAAUAUUCUCUUGAAAACACUCCAUGACAAGAAAAAAAAUAAAAAAUUAUAAAAGAGAUUAACAAAUCCAAAUAGAUUUGGCUCAAGAUUAAACUAAAAAAGAAUGAAACGAGGGAUGAUAUUUUUCCCACAUCCUUUUACCCAUUAUUCAUUAUUAUUCAUUAUAAAAAAAUGUGUUCGAAAUGACAAUGGGUAGUUUAUAACAAGAUGGUUGAGAUUUUUGUAAAAAUAAAUUGAUAAGAAUGGUGACAUAAAUAUUUUCUUCUUACAACUCAUUCAAGAACUAAAACUUAAAUUAAUCCCCAAUUAUAUAUUGAACAUUUUUUAUAAGGAGGGGUCUGUUUACAUUCAAGUUAAGUUAUACCAGUUACAAUUAAUCUCACAGACCAAAUUAGUGAAUGCAAUAAAUGAUGUGAGAGAAAAUGAUAAAUCUUAAAUAACUUUUAAGUUUCACCUAUUUGGUCCAUUGGAUCAAAGAAAAGGAAUGACUAAGAUUAAGUAUUACUACUGUAACUUGUUAGAUAUUUUCUAAUGUUUGGUGAAAUAUCAAUCCGUGGAUCCUAGGAAAGUGCAGACCGUAAUGGAAUGGAAUUCUCCGAAGUUGGUGACGGAGAUCAGAAGCUUUCUCGGAUUAGCGGGGUACUAUAGGAAAUUGAUUGAAGGAUUUUCAAAGUUCGCCUUGCUGCUAACUACACUAACGAGGAAGGACAAACCCUUUGUGUGCACGACAAAGGGCGAAUCAAGUUUUCAAGAGUUGAAGGACAGGUUGACCAUAGUGUCUGUAUUAGUCUUUCCAGAUCCCAACGAAAACUACAACAUCUAUUGUGACGCGUCUAAGCAAGGAUUAGGUUGCAUGUUGAUGCAACAAAGGAAAGUAGUGGCUUAUGCGUCAAGGCAGUUAAAGACACAUGAGCAGAACUACCCAACACACGAUGUGGAACUAGCAGCAAUCUUGUUUCCCGUCAAGGUGUGGAGACACCAUCUGUAUGGUGUGAGAUUCGAAGUUUUCAGCGACCACAAGAGUUUGAAGUACCUCUUCGGCUAGAAGGAACUGAACAUUAGACAUAGACGACAUAUGGAAUUCCUCAAGGACUACGAUUUUGUUCUUCAGUACCACCCCGAAAAAGCUAACGUGGUGGCUGAUGCAUUGCGUAGGAAGUCUUUGCACAUUUCAACCAUGAUGGUCAGAGAAAUGAAGCUGAUGGAGGAGUUUAGGGAUUUGAAUUUAGCGAUUUAAGUAUGACCUAAAAGUUUGAUUUUAGGCAUGCUUACCAUAACAAAUGAGUUUUUGGAACAACUGAAGGGUUUACAAGGUUUGGAUCCAAAACUACAAGAAAAGAGAAUCUUGUUGGCUGAAGGGAAAUCUCCGGAAUUUCAGGUAGAAACCGAUGGAGUACUCAAAUGCAAGAAUCGAGUCUGUGUGCCAAGAGAUCCCGAUUUAAGAAUGGAGAUCUUGGACGUAGCUCAAAAAAGCAAGCUAAGUAUUCAUCUAGGAGCUACCAAGAUGUAUCAAGACCUGAAGAAGAUACUUUGGUGGUCCAAUAUGAAGAAAGAUGUAGCGUAGUAUGUCUCCCGUUGCUUAGUGUGCCAAAAAGCAAAACAUGAGCACAAGCGACCCGGUGGAGAACUUCAACCCUUGGAUAUCCCUGUAUGGAAAUGGGAUAGCAUUUCAAUGGACUUCGUGAACGGUUUUCCACGAACUCAAAAGGGUUAUGACACUGUUUGGUUAAUUGUGAAUCAUUUGAUGAAGACGACUCACUUUCUACCAAUCAACAUAAAGUACUCUUUGGAGAGACUGGCAGAGUUGUACAGUAAUGAAAUAGUCCGAUUGCAUGAUAUUCCUACAAAUAUCAUCUCAAAUAGCUUAUCAAAUAGCCUUGCCACCUUUGCGGUCAAACCUACAUAAUGUCUUCCAUGUGUCUCAACUCAGAAAAUACAUUAGUGACCCGUCGCAUGUUAUUGAACCCGACUCAAUUCAGUUCAAGGAUAAUCUCACUUUCCAGACUUUGUCGUUGAGAAUUGCCGAUCGGAGUGUGAUGACUCUACGAGGCAAAGAAAUCGCCUUAGUUAAGGUAAUUUGGAGCCAGAAGAAUGAUGAAGAUGUUACUUUGGAGGUUGAAAGUGGCAUGAAGGAAUCAUUCCCCCAUCUAUUUUCUUAGAAGGUAUGAUUAAUUUUCAAGGACGAAAAUUUUAUAAGAUGGGGAGGAUUGUAACACCGUGUUUUUUAGAGCACUUUUAAUUAUGUAAUUAGUAUUAAUGUAUUAAUUAUAGAAAUUAAUCAGUAAUGUUUUGGGUUAAACCCUAGCUGAGUAUUAGUCUUGUAUUAUGAUUUUCUUGCUUUCUCUAUUUUUUCAAGAUUUUUUGAGAAUAAAAGUUUCUGAGACGAUUUCGGGUCGUUUUAUCGAGUUUUUGCCCAGUUUUUGAGUUCCGUAAUUCGGAAUCGAAUUCUGAUUUCUCCGUUGGCUUAGAAAUAUUAUUUCUAGUAAAAAAUAGAUACCAAGUUUGUCUGUAACUCACCUCUAGAUAUUUUUCACCUCAAAAUUCAAGUUUCAACGUUUCGGGCAAAUGUCCUAAAUCGGGAGAUUGUAUAUUUCCGGACGAAAUUAUCCAUAAAUGUUCGGACACGACGUUUAUCGGGAAAUUACGUCAUAUCAAUAAAGUUGGAAGUCAUCAUUUCAUGAGCCACUUGUUACACAAGUAAUGCAAAAGCUUCCAAAUGCCCCUAAAUCACUCAACAAAUCUUCUCACUCCACCACCAUAAGACACAUCACCUAUGCUAGUCUAAAUCUACUUACUUUGCAUUAAAUUUUCUGAUUUGAUGAGGGAGAGGUUAUCCUAUAAAUACCUCACCCCAUUCUCUCAUUUUUACACUAAAUUCCCUAUACAAACUCAGGUAGUCUUUUAUUUUCUCUUGUUCAUUUUCUUCUCAUACUUCAUAUAAAGUUAUGAGCUUUUAUUAUGUUGCUCAUACAGUAGAGUUUAUAUUUGUUCUUUAAGUAUUUUAUGAAGGCAUAACUAAAGGGGAUGAUAAUAAAAUCAUAUGAACCUUUAUNNNNNNNNNNNNNNNNNNNNNNNNNNNNNNNNNNNNNNNNNNNNNNNNNNNNNNNNNNNNNNNNNNNNNNNNNNNNNNNNNNNNNNNNNNNNNNNNNNNNGGAUAGGAUGAGGACGAGAAUGAGGAGGAGGAUAUGAUGAGGAAGAGGAUAGGAUGAGGACGAGAAUAAGGAUGAGGAUAGGAUGAGAAGGAGGAUGAGGAUGAGGAAGAGGAUGAGGAUGAGGAGGAGGAUGAGGAUAGGAUGAGGACGAGAAUGAGGAUGAGGAUAGGAUGAGGAUGAGGAUGAGGAAGAGGACGAGGAUGAGGAAGUGGAUAGGAUGAGGACGAGAAUGAGGAUGAGGAUGAGGAUAGGAUGUGGAUGAGGAUAGGAUGGGGAUGAGGAAGAGGAUGAGGAUGUCGAUGAGGAUAGGAUGAGGACAAGAAUGAGGAUAAGGACAUGAUGAGGAUGAGGACGAGGAUAGCAUUAGGACGAUAAUGAGGAUGACGAUAGGAUGUGGAUGAGAAGGAGGAUGAGGACGAUAAUGAGGACGAGGGUAGGAUAAGGAAAAGGAUGAGGAUGAGGAAAAGGAUGAGGCUAGGAUGAGGACGUGAAUGAGGAUGAGGAAAGUAUGAGGAGGAGGAUGAGGAUUAGGGUAGGAUGACGACGAGGAUGAGGAUGAGGAUUGGAUUAGGACUAGCAUGAGGAUAAGGAUGAGGAAGAGGAUGAGGAUAGGAUGAGGAUGGGAAAAGGAUGAGGAUNNNNNNNNNNNNNNNNNNNNNNNNNNNNNNNNNNNNNNNNNNNNNNNNNNNNNNNNNNNNNNNNNNNNNNNNNNNNNNNNNNNNNNNNNNNNNNNNNNNNAAAAUGAUAUUCAGGCUCUUCUCGCUUAAGCGAGAAGUGUCUAGGGAAUACACGUGUUUUAGCUCGGGGCAAGACAUCUCUCUUGAGCUAAAAUAGGCACCAAGAGAACUGAUUGUUUUCUCGCUUAAGCCACAAAUGCCUCAAAAAUGGAUGUGACCUCACUUGAGCAAGACAACUCUUGCUUGAGCGAGAGGGUUCCAUACAGACAUGAGUUGUGUUUAAGUCAUCUGAACGAUAACUCUCAUAUAUACGAGAGCCUAAUGGCAUGUUUGCCAUCAAGAAGUUGUAAAGGUAAAUAACUAUAUGAAAUUCUUGAAAGUAAUAAAAGUAAGGAAUUGUUUUGUUAAAGGCGAGGCCCGAGGAUGUGAUAUUAUGCCCACGCAGCGAGAUCGUUUGAUCGUAAGAUACUUGGCUAGAGGAGUCAUCCAGGAUGAUUCAGCGAUGUUUCGUAGUGGUGUUGAGAAGUAUUAUGUUGUUCCCAUGCAGCGAGAUCGUCUGACUGUAAGAGGCUUGGCUUGAGAGUCGUCCAGGAUAAUUCAAUGAUGGUUCGAAGUGGUGCCUAAACUAUUCUAUUUUUGUUUAUAUGUUAAGAUCCUGACCCACUACAAGCAUUCCCGAUGGGAGAUGUCUUAGGAUGGGCAGAUUGCUAGAAAAGAUGGAUUAAAAGGCAUAAUUUUCUAAUUUCGGUUAGGGUGCAUAUCCAUGGUAAAAAAUGAAGUAGUGGAGUGGAAAUGUAUGGGAGAGGAAUGAGCCCCGAGAUGUUGAGAGGGACGGUCUUGAUGGUGGUGAUUCGUCAACAAAUUCUUGAGGGAGAGUCUAGGUGAGACGAGUCCCAUGUAUUCCUAGAUGAGGUAUUAUGUUGGAUCGGACAGUGCUCACAGCGCAAACUCGACGAUCUUUGACAACCCCUCUUUGCAAUCAUGAUCGAUGAGAGGGAUGCCCAAAAAGUGUUUGAUACGACACCGUCCUGAAAUGGACAGUUCUGUUGGAACAUAUUGAUCAUAUAUCCUUGCGAGGAAUAAUUUUGGUGCGAUCAAAUCGGCUUGUUAUGGGAACUGUACUCUCGAUUAUUUCUGAAUAGUUAUUGGGAUGAUAAAGGAGUAAGGAUGGUGGAAUCAUGCAUCGCAUUGCAUACAUGAUAUUCUUCCAUCUAAGUUCUCGAGUUUUAUACUUCAUUCAUCAUUAUUAUAUGCUUGUAUGAUCACAUGAUAUAUUUGUACUUGUGUGUUGUCUUGGUGUAUUAUUCUGUGUAAUUCCACGAUGUCGAUGACAAGUUUUUCAUAGAUGUUUUACUCCCUCUCUUUUCUUCCGGUGUAUUUGUACACAUGUUCAGAUGGACCCAUCAGCACUGAUCCGAGGUUAUCGCUUCACUAUGUCCCAGGAGGGGACAUGGAGUGUUGAGGGUAAUCGACACACUUACACAGGUCCUUACAACCUGGAGCUGGAUUGGGUAAGCAAUGGCUCAGUUGUGCAUCUUCCACUUUACUACACAGUUCAGGAGGCAUCAUUCACUUUGCCCGACCGAAGACAUUCAACCACCAGACUUUCUGUACCGGCUGAAGCUCAAGGCGUACCAGAAGUUGUUAGGACUUGACCCCAAACAAGAUUCUCAUCAUUAGGAUCUGUGCCAAGAGAGACAAACGGGGCCAUGCCAAGGGGUACACCCUGGACCCCUCGAUGGAUUGGGGAGCGGAUGAAGUUGAGGAGGAGGAAGACAAUGGCGACUGUGUAGAGUUUAUCUUUUUAUGAAUGGAUGCAUAAAUGAAUAUGUAACAUCCCUCCUUUCAGCACCUUGCUUAGGUAGACAUAGGACUAUAUAUAUAUAUAUAUGUGUUUGUGUGUGUGUGUGUGCUUAUGUAUGUGAUUAUAUUUUAUUGAUAUUAGAAUGCUAAAUGUUUAAUAAUUGCUUUGAAAAUAAGUUGAUCUAGUUAGUUUCAAAGCUGUCCAAGUUUAAAGUCUAGCCGUUAUCGGGUAAUGUAUGAUUCUAGAAUUUUAAUUAGAAUUGGUCUAAGUGACCACCUAACCUAUUAGAUUUCAUAUUGCUUUAUUGAUGUUGAUUUUUGAGGAUAGAAAGUUAUUAUCUUAGUGUUAUACUAUGAUAAAUAACUUAGUUAAAAGUCUCUAGAAAAAGUGCUGGUUUUAAUGUACCUUUGAACUGGAUUGCUCGAGAGUGCCUGUGAUAUUUUCUAUCAGUUCUUUGAGUACUUGAACUAUCAUCUAUACUCCCUUAGACAUUGUUUAAGGUUUUAUUAAGGUGUCUUAGAGCACAAGAAAACACAUCCAUGCACUACACUAAUUGCUCAAACCAAAUACCACAUUAUGCAUCUACAACUUUGCUAAAUUACCUAAUCGUUAUUUAAAUCUUAAUGACACCCAACCCAAAAUAUCUUCCUCCACUAACUCAUCCCUAACACCUAUAUAUACAUGACCUUAAAGGGGGUGGGGGCUGAAUUUUCACACUCUCACACCUCCUCACCAACACUCCAUCUUCAUUCAUCUUCUCCACUCUUUCUUCCUAACGUUAGCACUAAGGAGGAAGGGAGAAAGCCUCCAUCUUCUUCUCCAAACUCACAUACAAGUGAGAAAUCUGAAUCCCCAAGGUAUCUAGUUCACCUACAUUUCUUUUAAUCUACACUUUCUUAAGGUUUUGUUGGUUGGAUUCUCAUUAAGAUUUCAUGAACUAAAAGUGGUGCAACUAUGGAUUAUAGUGUAGAGUUUGCCUGGAUUUCCUCCUAAUUUCUCUUCAAAGACUCUACCCAACCAUUUCAAGGUAGGGAGAACUCCAAUUUCACCUCUUAUUCACGAAAAAAUGACAUGCAAGGAAUUUCCUUACUGUUUUAAAAUUCCGUUCUAAGUGUAGUUAGGGAAAUCAUGCAUUGUUGUGGUUGUUGUGGUUGUUGUUGAGUUGUAAGCUUAGGGUUGUGUUAGAAAUGAUCAUGGCUAUGUUUAGAACUGUUUGCAUGUUAGAAAUCUUCUGUGAGCAGGUCUUUUUAUCCCUAGAAUUUCGUGGUGAAAGGGUUUCUAAACCCAAUCACCUCCUUGUGUUGUUGAUAGAUCCAAAAGGGUAUUUUAGGUGUUGUUGUGAUUGUUCUAGGGUGUUAGGAUUGAAAAACCCUUGCAUGUGUUAUAAGCUUUGUUUAACACACUGAACUCAUGAUAUUUAACUCAUUCCAAAGGUUAGAACUCGAAAAUUUUGAAGGCUAAGAAGCCAUGCAAAUCGGUCCCAUGUAUUCAAGAGUUAAGGAAAACCCUAAUACCUUAGUUCCUUGAUAACUUGAGUUCCUAACGUCCAAAUUUUACAUAUAAUAUAUGCAUGUGUUCAUAUUUUAAAUUCCUAUCUAAAUAUCAUUCUUUCAUGGACAAGAAAAAUUCGAAAGCCUUACUGUUUAAAGGGAAAAACGAAAACAGUCCCUAGUUGGCACUCCAAACUAUCUAAUUUUUGACUAUAUGUUAGCCUAUGUUUCAAAUUGCCUUAUGGUUUAUAAAUUCUGAGUUUUAUGAGCCUAAACUUAUAUUAGUACUCUUUUUAUGAAGAUAAAAUGUGUAUCUCAAGAUAAUAAUUUUUCUAAAGCUUUUCUGAAGCGAAUCCGAGCCUCCUAAGUCAAAUUCUGAGUUUUAAACCAAUAAGCGUCCCUGAAAAUCUUUUCGUGCCUAAUCAAGAUUUUAGUUAUAUACAAACUAGAUAUUUGAGUAUGUUAUAAUGUGUAGAAACUCAUUUAGGUGUUUACCUUUUCAAUAUGAAUAAACUUAGUGAUAUCGAAAUUAACUAUUUAUGACCUAAUCAGGUACACGACACUCGAGCAAUCAGCAACAAAGGAACAUUAAGUUCAGUAAGGUUAAAGGUAUGGAGAGAAGUGUCUUUAUAUAGGUGCUUAGAAAUGAUGCCAAAGAUGUUAAUGCAUCUCUAAGAUAGGCCAUGUGCGGAUAUAGUCGAAUACUAUUUCUGUGGCCGCGAACAAUCGAGUAGCGAGACUUAGUUGUUCGUAAAUUAAUUUAAACUCUAAAUUAUGAUGGAUAUGCUUGGUUGAAGUGGUUCAAUGGAAUUGAAUGAUUAUGUUUGUUGAUAUAAAUGAUCAUUAUGACUAAAAGUUUGAUAAUAAAAGUACUGAUUUAACUGAAUAUUCUGUUGAAUUUUGAACUGUGACAUAUUGUUGAGUUGACUAUUAAACUGUCAUCAAACAUUCUCAUGGCAUAGCAUAUGAAAAUUCUUGAUGAAACUUAAAGAAUGAAAUUUUGGCUUAUGAAAGAUUUGACGAAGGAUGAAGGGGAAAUAUUUUUCUGACUUAUAUCAGAACUGGCGUAUUUUUACAGUGAUUAGAAAAUCCUUUCGAUCAAUAAGCCAGUGAGUUAGAACUUGAAGAAAAUGUUGUAAUUGAGUUUCAAUGAAAAUGUUUUGUUAUUACCCUAAAAAGGCUUCCCCUGAUUCUUCUUUUUAAAAGGAAAAAAAAAAGCUAUGCUUUGUAUGAAUGGGAAGAUUCAUGUCACUGUGUUUACAAUUUGUAACAUAGUCUGUGGGAAGAUACGACACUGAGAUUGUGUUGAGAACCCAGAGGGGUACCUUGUCUAUGUGACUUGGUUGAGGGGACAUUGUGGGUGGAGAUUGAUUUGUCAGGAAUAGGGUAGCUCCCUUGAGCCGACAGAACUCUUCGCAGUAACUACAGCGAACUCUGACACCCCCUUGAAGGUAUCGUGCUCAGGGUGAUGCAGCGGUUAUCUUUGCCAACCGGAGGGUAUUUCCGGCGCUAUUGAGUGCACGAUAGUUAUAUGCCUUUUGGUUACCAAUGGUUGGCACGUCGUUGUAUUCGUCUUGUUCGCUUCCUAAGAACAACAAAUGGCUGGUCGGGCUCGAUCAGUCGGUACCAUUGUUGUUGAGGUAUCAUUAGGGGCCCAGUUAGGAGACGUUUUCUCCAUGCAUUCAUCUACAAAAUAGUUGGUCUGAUUAGAUUAACGAGUGCAUUCAUUAUUACAUCAUGCUCAUACAUAUGAUUAAAUUGUUAUAUUAAUACAUAUUUGAUCUGUUUUAUGUUAUGACUUUAUUAAUUGUUGAUUGUUUAUCUUAUAUAGAAGUGCUUACUCUCCAAUCUCACAUUACAGAUAGUGAUGGACUAAGAGGCUUCUUUUGUGAUUCCUCCUUAUCGAGUAGAGAUCAUGCCUCUCCCGUCGAGGGAGGUUGAGGUGGACCGGUCUAGGGCGGUGUUUAGGGGAGACAUAGAAAUCACGUGUUCAUACUCGGACGGGGACCACCUGUGACCCCGACUAGUCGUACUGAGACGACUCGGGGAGUUCAGACUUGUCGUUGUAUCUGGUGUCUUUCUUUACGGGAGAGUCAUAUNCCGCUCUACCGUUCCAGCGGUCUAUAUCAUGCACAUACCAGACGCUUACGAGUUACGACGCAUGCCUCCUCUUGCUCCUUCCAAGUAUAUUCCAUCUCCUACUGCUCCUCUUUACCUAUAUUCUGGAUCCUAUCAUGCUCGGACACGUAGGGUUGCGCCAUUCCGGUGUACACCCAGAGCCUCGGUGAGACGUUANNNNNNNNNNNNNNNNNNNNNNNNNNNNNNNNNNNNNNNNNNNNNNNNNNNNNNNNNNNNNNNNNNNNNNNNNNNNNNNNNNNNNNNNNNNNNNNNNNNNCAUAUGUGUACAAACUUUAGUGUACAACAACGUUAGUUAUGAUAAGAUAGAGUCUUGCUCCUAUGUAUUCUUAUGAAUAGUAGGGAAUCAAUACUACCUAGUUCUUCAUAGAAAAAUAUUUGUUUGUUGGAUUUAUUUUAUUUAUUAGAUGAUUUAGCAUUAUUUAUUUUUCAAAACAUGAUUUAGCAAUUAUUUAUGAGGCAACAACUCUCGUAUUAACACCACAUAUCAGCUUAAAGGGACCAGUUUUAAUUAAUUAUCCAUUUCAUNNNNNNNNNNNNNNNNNNNNNNNNNNNNNNNNNNNNNNNNNNNNNNNNNNNNNNNNNNNNNNNNNNNNNNNNNNNNNNNNNNNNNNNNNNNNNNNNNNNNUUAUUGAAAAUAAAAAACUAAUAAGUUAAUCAUUUUUAGUGAUAUAAAAAAUAAUUAUCACCAUAAAAACUAUAUAUAAAUGAAAAACAAAGAUGAAAAGAAUGUGCAUAACUACAUCUCCGAAUAAACAAAAGAAGGGGUUCACCACAAAUUUCUCUCUACGUAUGAUAUAGCAUUAUUAGAUGAUUUUUAUUUGAUAUCUGAAAGAAUUUUUAUUUAUUAGAUGAUUUAGCAUUAUUUUUUUCAUGGUGUAUUUCUUCUUUGUUUUCCAGGAGCUCAAGACCUCUAUUUAUAAGUGGAAUUUGACAUAUAUUGAAAGCUAAAGAGAAUCUCUGUAAUUCAUGUCUCCAAUCAAUUAAAUCAUUUUACUUUUUAGAAUCAAAUAUGUUAUUGAUUGAAUUUAUUAUGAAAUUUGAAUAUUAGAUAUAAUAUAGCNNNNNNNNNNNNNNNNNNNNNNNNNNNNNNNNNNNNNNNNNNNNNNNNNNNNNNNNNNNNNNNNNNNNNNNNNNNNNNNNNNNNNNNNNNNNNNNNNNNNACACUCUAUGGCAUAACCCACUUAUAAGUAUAAAACAUAUUACAUGAGUUUUAUGGAGUCUAAGUGACUAGAAUAUUUUAUUCUUAUUUUUAUAUAAGAAACGAAAAUCGAAGAGUAAUCGCAUUUUUUUAUAUAAAAAUAGAAUCUUUCAAUUACUAGGCUAAUAAGUGUUUAACAAGUGACUUAAAACUAUUUUUUAUUUAAAAAGGUAAAAAAUGAGAAACGAGUGAAAAUUGAGUCAUUUGCUAUCCUUAACUAAUNNNNNNNNNNNNNNNNNNNNNNNNNNNNNNNNNNNNNNNNNNNNNNNNNNNNNNNNNNNNNNNNNNNNNNNNNNNNNNNNNNNNNNNNNNNNNNNNNNNNGACUUCAGGUAGCAAAUAUAUGAAUAUUGUGUUAUAUGAGUGAACACAAAAGACAUUAUAAGAUUAUAAAUGAAAAUAUUAUUAGAGAAAAUUUGAGUAGCUCAUAUUNCUAAGUAAAAGUAGGUGUUCAUAGACUUCAGGUAGCAAAUAUAUGAAUAUUGUGUUAUGUGAGUGACCACAAAAGACAUUAUAAGAUUAGAAAUGAAAUAUUAUUAGAGAAAAUUUGAGUAGCUCAUAUUAUAGAAAAGAUGAUAGUAUCGUGACUUAGGUGAUUUAGGCAUUUGUGAAGAAAACUAGUAGAAACCCCUGUAGUGAUAGUAGACCAAGUUCCUAGAAAUUGAGGAUACCAACAAAUCAUAGGGAAAAUGAUAGAUAAAGACUUAGAAAUUAAUGAUGUACCAAUAAACAUAAUUUAUUAUAUAAUAUUAUAGUGUCGUUUGAUCCAUGUAAUCGAUGUGUGAGAUAAAAACUUAGUUGUUUUUUUGUAGUUAAGCAAUACAAUUAAAAUAUUGAUUAUGACCAAUAUUAAGUUUUAACUUUUAAGCACACGUUGAUUUAUUUUUUAAUACAUUUAAUACUUAAUCAAAUAACAUUAAUAAAGUUGAUAAAUUUUAACAUUUAAAUUAAUGCAUUAAGUACGUCACACAAUAUAUAUUUCUUUCUUCAUGUUAUCAAUAUUAUUGGUAUCAUUGUUUAGGAGUUUCACAUUGGGUAACAUAAUAAACUUAAUAUGAUACUUGAACCAUGAAACUCUCUUAUCUAAUAGACUAGUCUUUUGAGUAAAUUACAGUGACAUCUCCCGAGUUUUAGCGAAAUUACACAAACCACUCCUUACUUUUUUACACCUACCCAAACCCCCUAAUUUUUAUACUUUCAUUAUACUAUUCACUUCUGCACGAAAAAUAAGUGACAAAUCCAAAAGAAAGGGCGGAAAUAUUAAUCAUCGCCAAAGUCAUUAAAUGAUAAACAACUCCUAGUGGCUAACUCCAAAGCUAGGGUACNUUUCAUUAUACUAUUCACUUCUGCACGAAAAAUAAGUGAAAUCUUUUAAACAAAAAUGUGAUGAAUAUAAUAUACUUAAACAAAACAUGUUAUAUUGUGGAGACAAAACCAAAUAAUAUAUGAGUNNNNNNNNNNNNNNNNNNNNNNNNNNNNNNNNNNNNNNNNNNNNNNNNNNNNNNNNNNNNNNNNNNNNNNNNNNNNNNNNNNNNNNNNNNNNNNNNNNNNAAGUGGUGAUCUAUUCUACACAAGUCUAAAGAAAACUUAAAAAAAUAAAAUUAUCUACAUAAUUAAAAGUUAUUAUGUAUAAAAAUAAUUAAAAGUUGUAUAACUUACUUUUAGAAUAUUCUNAGAUUAACUUUAUCGUUUCGUCCAAACAAAAACAUUAUUUCUAAUUUGUCAUAUAUUCUAAAUAAUUAAAACUAUAUCGAAAUCACAGUUUCUUCUUUUAUUUUUCACCCUUGUUUCUCCUUCAUAUCUAUUGAUUAGACUUUAGCAGNNNNNNNNNNNNNNNNNNNNNNNNNNNNNNNNNNNNNNNNNNNNNNNNNNNNNNNNNNNNNNNNNNNNNNNNNNNNNNNNNNNNNNNNNNNNNNNNNNNNCAAACAAAGAUAAGAAUGAAAUAAUUAAUGAAUUUGUUCUAUAUACAUGCAUUUAGUUUAAAACACAAAAAGUUGACUUAAUAACAUCAGAUGUAAUAUAAACUUCAUUGCCAAAAGAGUAUAAGGAUUGAGAUGUAAUAUAAACUUCAUAGCCUAUCUUUCCCUAAGCAUCCAUUUUCAUUGAGCCAUGUCUAACUCAAUCCCUAGCUCUUGUAACCCAAUCCCUAGCUCUANNNNNNNNNNNNNNNNNNNNNNNNNNNNNNNNNNNNNNNNNNNNNNNNNNNNNNNNNNNNNNNNNNNNNNNNNNNNNNNNNNNNNNNNNNNNNNNNNNNNGCUAUCAAUGUACAAUUUUCAUAUGACACUAAUCAAAGGAAAGCAAACUAUUGUGUACAAUAUCAUAUUUCAUAGGAUUUUUCCUAGUUUGUGUUUUGUCAUGUUUCAUUAAAAAAUAAACAUGUCUCUUCAAUAAGGAGAUGCAAUAUUUUUGAAGUACAAAAAUAGUUUCGUAAACCUACACAAGUUUUUAUCAAUGUAUGAUUUCCAUGAACCAAUACAUAUUUUCACUAAUACUAAAUAAUUAGUAUAUUGAUCCUGACCCUUAACAUAAGUUCUUACUUUAAAAAACAUGACAAAGAAAUAUCUCUUAUUUUCUGAAAAUCCUCUCAAGAGAGCUUAGUACAACAGCUCGUGAGAGGUCAUAUUUGCAAAACAAAAUCUAGAGUCUCACAAAUUUAAUGCAAAGUGCUAGAGAUUGAAAAUAAUGAAUUAGCUUUAUGAGAAUGAACAUAUUUAUCUAGUGUUAAAUAGGUGUAAUGAAAUUAUGAUUAAAAUUUCCAAAAUGGGGGUUCAUCGAUUCAAAUUAUGGUAACACUUUUAGAUAUACAACAAAAAGGAAUAAAAAUCAGAAGUGUUGCUUGUUUAGUAAAUACACUUUUAGUAAGUGAAAUAAUUAUUAAUUCCAUUACCAAAUACCCUUAACCCACAAAGAUCCUAAUUCAUGUGGUUCUAUAAGGCACACUUGGUAGCUAAUGGUUAGUCACAACUACAAGGUUUUGUUUUUGCUGAUGUGUUUGCUCUAGUUAUAAAAUUAGCAAUUGUAAGAACUUUUCUUAGUGUUGCAACAACUAAAAAUUGGACAACGUAUCAAAUGAAUGUUUCCUAUGCCUUUCUACAUGGUGAUUUCCAAGAAUAGGUGUAGGUGCAACCUCCUCAUGGGUUUCGAAGGUAAGUGAGAUACAUAUUUUUAUGAUAAAUAAAACAAUUUUGGCUUAAAACUUGCAUGUCAAACUUGGUUUACUACACUCUCUAUGCCUUAUUUGUAGUUUGUUAUAAUCAACCCAAAGCUGACUACUCCAUGUUUACAUUUCCUCAUGCAUCUUAUAUCACCGUUUUACUUAUCUAUGUUGAUGAUAUUGCAAUUACAUGAGAAGAUCCAAUAAUUAUUUCACUUAUUGAAAAAUACAUUCCCAACUUGUUUAACAUGAAUGAUCUUGAGUCAUUGAUAUAUUAUUUGGGUGUUGAAUUAGCACACUGUAAGGCUAGAACUUUUCAUAACAAAUGGAAAUAUGCAUUAGAAAUUUUGCAGGACACUAAUCUUCUUGCAAUUAAAUUAGUUGCAUCUCUAUUGGAUUAAAGUAAGCCAUCUAGAUAUAAUUCAUUCGGUGAACUUUUGUCACAAUUUAUGUCUUCUCCAUUGAACACGCACUGACAAGAAGCUCUUCGAGUGGUUAAAUACAUCAAGUCUGCCCUAAGGAAUCUUUAUCUCAAUUGACUCUUCUUUACUCCUCCAUGCAUAUUGUGAUACAGAUUGGGCUUCUUAUCCAACUUUUACAUGAUCAAUCACUGAGUAUUGUACUUUUUUAGUCGAAGUCUGCUAUCUUGGAGAACUAAUUAACAAUUACCACAAUUUUCCGCUCCACCUCCGAAGUUGAAUAUUGUGUUAUGGCAAUGAUGUUAGUGAAAUGACAUGGUUGCAAACUCUUCACCAGUUAAGCAUUUCACCACAUCCUCAAUCUUGUGAUAAUCAAAUUACCCUCCAUGUAGCAAAUAAUCAUGUUUUCCAUGAGCUAACAAAUCAUGUAGAAAUUGAUUGUCAUUUGGUUUGAAACAAAAAUUCAAAGAGGUCAAUCUUAUAUCUUCACUAAUAAGCAAGUAAUAGAUAUUUUUAUAAAGGCUCUACCAGCUUCACAUAGUCACUUAACUUCCAAGCUCAUGUACCUUCCUCAAUAGUGAGCUUGAGGNNNNNNNNNNNNNNNNNNNNNNNNNNNNNNNNNNNNNNNNNNNNNNNNNNNNNNNNNNNNNNNNNNNNNNNNNNNNNNNNNNNNNNNNNNNNNNNNNNNNUAUGAAGAAAGAUGUAGUGGAGUAUGUCUCCCGUUGCUGAGUGUGCCAAAAAGCAAAACUUGAGCACAAGCGACCCGGUGGAGAACUUCAACCCUUGGAUAUCCCUGUAUGGAAAUGGGAUAAAAUUUCAAUGGACUUCGUGAGCUUUUUUCCACGAACUCAGAAGGGUUAUGACGCUGUUUGGUUAAUUGUGGAUCGUUUGACGAAGACGGCUCACUUUCUAACAAUCAACAUAAAAUACUCUUUGGAGAGACUGGCAGAGUUGUACGUAAACGAAAUAGUCCGAUUGCAUGAUAUUCCUACAAAUAUCAUCUCGGAUAGCUUAUCAAAUACCUAGUCCGAUUUUACAUUAACCAAAAUUUUAUAAGUUGGGGAGGAUUGUAACACUGUNNNNNNNNNNNNNNNNNNNNNNNNNNNNNNNNNNNNNNNNNNNNNNNNNNNNNNNNNNNNNNNNNNNNNNNNNNNNNNNNNNNNNNNNNNNNNNNNNNNNAAUACCAUGUGUACUCUUGAAUUAUAAUGUUUGAAUGAUUAUUAUGGGAAUGAUAUGUAUGUGAUAAUUGUUAAAUUCAAGGUUUAAAAAUAUGUGGUAUAAAUGAGAAAUAUUUUCCUUGAGAAAAGUAAUUAAAAUGAUAUUCAUGCUCUUAUCGUUGGAGCGAGACAAGUCUCGCUUGAGCAAGAAGUGUCUAGGAAAAAUAAGUGUUUUAGCUCGGGGCGAGACAUCUCUCUUGAGCUAAAAUAGGUACCAAGAGAACUGAUUGUUUUCUCGCUUAAGCCACAAAUGCCUAAAAAAGGGAUGUGCCCUCACUUGAGCAAGACAGCUCUCGCUUGAGCGAGAGGGCUUCAUACAGACCUGAGUUCUUUUUAAGUCGUCUGAACGAUAACUCUCAUAUAUACGAGAGCCUAAUGGCAUGUUUGCCAUCAAGAAGUUGUAAAGGUAAAUAAGUAUAUGAAAUUCUUGAAAGUAAUAAAAGUAAGGAAUUGUUUUGUUAAUGGCGAGGCCCGAGGGUGUGAUAUUAUGCCCACGCAGCAAGAUCGUUUGAUCGUAAGAGGCUUGGCUAGAGGAGUUAUCCAAGAUGAUUCAGCGAUGUUUCACAGUGGUGUUGAUAAGUAUUAUGUUGUGCCCAUGCAGCGAAACCGUCUGACUAUAAGAGGCUUGGCUUGAGAGUCGUCCAGGAUAAUUCAAUCAUGGUUCGCAGUGGUGCCAAAAUUAUUCUCUUUAUGUUUAUAUCUUAAGAUCUGGACCCACUAGAAGCAUUCCCAAUUGGAGAUGUAUUAAGAUGGGCAGAUCGCUAGAAAAGAUGGAUUCAAAUACAUAAUUUGCUAAUUUCGGUUAAGGUGCAUAUCCAUGGUCCAAAAUGAAGUAGUGGAGAGGAAAUGUACGGGAGAUGAAUGAGCCUCGAGAUUUUGAGAGGGACAGUGUUGAUGGCAGUGAUUUGUCAACAAAUUCUUGAGGGAUAGUCUAGGUGAGACGAGUCCCAUGUAUUCUUGGAUGAGGUAUUUUGUUGGAUCGGACAGUGCUCACAGCGCAAACUAGACUAUCUCUAACAACCCCUCUUUGCAAUUAGGAUCGAUGAGAGGGAUGCCCAGAAAGUGUUUGAUACGACACCAUCUUGAAAUGGAUAGUUCUGUUGGAACAGAUUGGUCAUAUAUCCUUGCGAGGAAUAAUUUUGGUGCAAUCAAAUUGGCUUUUUAUAGGAACUGUACUCUCGGUUAUUUCCGAAUAGUUAUUUUAAGGAUAAAGGAGUAAGGAUGGUGGACUCAUGCAUCAUUAUUAUAUGCUUGUAUGAUGACAUGAUAUAUCUUUACCCGUGUGUUGUCUUGGUGUAUUUUCUGUGUAAUUCCACGACGUUGGUGACAAGUAUUUCAUAGAUGUUUUACUCCCUGUCUUUUUUUCUUGUGUAUUUGUAUGCAUGUUCAGAUGGACCCAUCAGCACUGAUAUGAGGUUAUCGCUUCACUAUGUCCCUGGAGAGGACAUCGAGUGUUGAGGGUAAUCGACACACUUACACAGGUCCUUGCGACCUGGAGCUGGAUUGGGUAAGCAAUUGCUCAAUUCUACAUCUUCCACCUUACUACACAUAUCGGGAGGCAUCAUUCACUUUGCCCGACCAAAGACCUGCAAUCGCUAGACUUUCUGUACCGGCUGAAGUUCGAGACAUACCAGAAGUUGUUAGGACCAAGCCACAAACAGGAUUCUCAUCACCAUGAUCGGCGCCAAGAUAGACGGAUGGGAACAUGCCAAUGGGGUACACCGCGGACCCCUCGAUGGAUUGGGGAGCGGGUGAAGUGGAUGAGGAAGAUGACAAUGACGAUUGUGUAGAGCUUAUUUGCAUAGAAGAUUCAGGUGGGGUCAUUCAGAUCUCCUCUGAAUUGGAGGUGGAGGAAGACCCUAGCGAGGCUUCCAGUGCACCUCCGGUUUAGGAGGUUUCUCUUUUGUUUUGUUGUGAUGGAAACCUGUGUGAGGUACUUUUUGUAAUGCCAAUGCCCCGCCAUUAUUUUCUUUUUAUUUUCAGAUUUUUUUAUUUGUGGCGAUGAUUAGAUUUUGCCUUGUAAACAAUUUUGUAUUUAUUCAAGAAUUUUAUGAAUGGGAAGUACUCAGAAAAGAAUUGUGUUCAUUUAAUUAUCUUCAAUGUAUUAAGAAUUUUAUUUCCGUAAGAUUUGAAAAUGUGACGUCUUGAAAAUGGAAUAAGGUAAAAGUGAAAAUUAUUUGUAAGUUAUAGGUUACAUAAAAGAAAAGAAAACGGGAAAUAAAAAUUUACCUAUUUUUCUAAGAGAUUAAAUAUAUUAAAUAUGAAAUGAUUUUCGGGAUGUUACAUAAAGUGGUAUCAGAGCGGUUCAAUCCUAUCCGGGAUGACCUUGCAAUCUUACAUGCUUUCUUGUGUGACGUUUUUGAUUGUUUGAUUGUUUAUGGUCUAUUGAAAACGGCUCUGGUUUUCCGUCUUAACCGAAUAAGAAUUGGACCGCUUUGAAUGGGAAAAAUCCGGUCCGACCAUGUUAAACCCGGUUAAACCGGAUUAACCCGAGAAGUAAACCGGACGGCUCACUUAAAAAUAAAAAAAUGGGACAAUGUUCUAAUAUUUUGUUUUACUACGGUCCAAAAAAAGAUAAAGAUAUAUUAUUCGAAUAUAAUUAUACAUAAUUAUUAAUUAUAUAAAGUUUUACAUUUAUAUAUAACUAUAUAUUUAUAAAUAAAAAUUAUUAAUUAUGUACGAAAUCAUCCGGUCAGACUGGACGGUUUAACCGUUUAAACCGGUUAAACNNNNNNNNNNNNNNNNNNNNNNNNNNNNNNNNNNNNNNNNNNNNNNNNNNNNNNNNNNNNNNNNNNNNNNNNNNNNNNNNNNNNNNNNNNNNNNNNNNNNUCUUGAAAGUAAUAAAAGUAAGGAAUUGCUUUGUUAAAGGCGAGGCCCGAGGGUGUGUUAUUAUGCCUACGCAGCGAGAUCUUUUGACCGUAAGAGGCUUGGCUAUAGGAGUCGUCCAGGAUAAUUCAACAAUGAUUCGCAGUGGUGAUGAGAAGUAUUAUGUUGAGCCAAUGCAUCAAGAUCGUCUGACUGUAAGAGGCUUGGCUUUAGAGCCGUCCAGGAUAAUUCAACAAUGGUUCGUAGUGGUGCCAAAAUUAUUCUCUUUUUGUUUAUAUGUUAAGAUCGGGACCCACUAGAAGCAUUCCCGAUGAGAGAUGUCUUAGGAUGGGAAAAUCCCUAGAAAAGAUGAAUUAAAAGAUAUAAUUUGCUAAUUUCGGUUAGGGUGCAUAUCCAUGGUAAAAAAUGAAGUAGUGGAGAGGAAAUGUACGGGAGACGAAUGCGCCCCGAGAUGUUGAGAGGGACGGUGUUGAUGGUGGUGAUUCGUCAGCAACGUCUUGAGGGAGAAUCUAGGUGAGACGAGUCCAAUGUAUUCCUGGAUGAGGUAUUCAGUUGGAUCGGACAGUUCUCACAACUCAAACUAGACGAUCUCUAACAACCCCUCUUUGCAAUCAUGAUCAAUGAGAGGGAUGCCCAGAAAGUGUUUGAUACGACACCAUCCUGAAAUAGACAGUUCCGUUGGAACAAAUUAGUCAUAUAUCCUUGCGAGGAGUAAUUUUGGUGCUACCAAAUCGGCUUGUUAUGGGAACUGUACUCUCGGUUAUUUCCGAAUAGUUAUUGGGAGGAUAAAGGAGUAAGGAUGGUGGANNNNNNNNNNNNNNNNNNNNNNNNNNNNNNNNNNNNNNNNNNNNNNNNNNNNNNNNNNNNNNNNNNNNNNNNNNNNNNNNNNNNNNNNNNNNNNNNNNNNAUUUGCACUUAAUAUUUGACAUACAAGCUAUUUAUCAUACACUUUAUCAUACAUUAUAAAUUAACGAGGGCUAGAACACAUUUAUUUAAAAUUUUAAUUAUUUCUUAUUACAUAUUAAAAAAUUAAUUUUAAUUAUUUCUUACACUGUAUCCUUUGAAAUAUUCACUGUUCUAAUAAAAAAACUUAAAAUGGGUCAAACUAUCAUCAUUUAUUUUGGAGACAUGUAUAUAAUAUAAAGAUUUAAUAUUUAUAUUCUGUUUUUUAUACUGUCAGUAAAUCAUCCAUUAUUCAUAUGUUACUAAUCAUUGACUCUCAAAUAAAAGUAAUACAAAUCAAUGGUGGAUGGUGUGCUGNNNNNNNNNNNNNNNNNNNNNNNNNNNNNNNNNNNNNNNNNNNNNNNNNNNNNNNNNNNNNNNNNNNNNNNNNNNNNNNNNNNNNNNNNNNNNNNNNNNNACUAAGGGUCUCUCCUCACUUUUUGGGUAAUGAACUAAUCAUAGAUGCCCCUCCCAACAAAUGUUGUUCCUAGUAAUCGAACCAUUAACCUUGGGGAUCCAAUUGGAUCAUACACCAUUAGACUAACGCCUAUUAGUUAUUAUAAGAUAUUAUAAGAUCGUACAGAUAUAGAUAGAAAGUAGCAAAAAAAUUUAAUGAAUGGAAAAACAAUUAUGUAGAAUAAGUAGAAGAUAAAAAUAAGGGCCUAAAUAUUCCUUAAGAGCUUACGCGUGAAAAUUACGAAUUCAACUCGUAAUCAGAAUUAGUUCACUUCUCCUUUGAUGAUCAUGUCUCUUUUUGGUGCAACACUAAUUUUGAUUAACAAAAGUUAAUUGUUACCAAAUUAUUUUGUCGUUUUUUUAAUCAUUAUCAUCAAUUGUUGUNNNNNNNNNNNNNNNNNNNNNNNNNNNNNNNNNNNNNNNNNNNNNNNNNNNNNNNNNNNNNNNNNNNNNNNNNNNNNNNNNNNNNNNNNNNNNNNNNNNNUCUACCAUUCCUAUCAAUUUCUAUCAUUAUUUUUUGAACAGAAAAUACAUGUAGUGAAAAUAACAAUAAUAAUUUCAUUAAUAAUAAUAAUAAUAACUUCAUUAAUAAUAAUAAUAAUAAUAAUUUCAUUGUUUAGUUUUGAAGAUUUUUAUGCUCAGAUUUGAGGGAAGAGUGAGUAAAAUUUUCUUGAACUUUUUGCCUUUGUGAGUUCUCGACUUAAACUAUUUAUAAUUCUUAAUUACCCAUUAAAUUUUACAUGUUCGUGAAAUUGGUUUCUAUAAAUAUUUUAUUAAAUUAGUCAAAGACAAUAGGGAAAUCGUUGCAAUCAGAAUUAUAAGAAUAACAGUGCAACAAUGUAAAUUAGUCAAUCCCCAGCUCUAGUAACCCAAUCCCUAGCUCUAGUAACCUAAAGAAGAACAAGGGUCGUAGAAGGAUUGAGAUGAAAAUGAUAGCCAAAGACAGCAACCUAAAAGUCACAUUCUCCAAACGCCGCACUGGGCUAUUUAAGAAAGCGAGCGAGUUUUGCACUCUUUGUGAUGCAAAAGUUGGGCUAGUUGUCUUUUCUCCUGCAAACAAGGCUUUCUCUUUUGGCGACCCUAUAUUGAUGCUAUUGUAGACCGCUAUCAAAUGAGGGACCAACCACUGAACCUGGGGAACAUGCAAUAUCUUGAGGCUCACAGAAAUGCUAAUGUUCAGGAGCUUAAUGAUAAGAUUAAUCGGAUCAAUGAAGAUCUUGAGAUUGAGAAGAAGUACAGUGAAGAGUUGGCUAAGCAAAGGAAAGAGGCACAAGAACAUUUCUGGUGGGCUGCNAUUUCUGGUAGGCUGCUCCAAUUGAAGAGAUCAAUGGAGAACGAGUUGAUCAAUUGAAGUCGGCUCUUGAGAAUCUGAAGAAGAAUGUCCUUCGUGUUGUUGAAAGACAGAAUAUUGCUAAGGGUGCUUCUACUGCUGCUGCUAUCCCACCUCCUCCUCACUUUUUUACAGGUGGUGCAUCUUCUUCAAACAACCCUUUGCCACCACCACCUCAGCCACCAACUCAGGAGUUUCAGGUGCAGCCGCCACCGCCACCUCAACAAUAUCCUGUGAAUCCACAACAACCACCUCAACAGUUUAGGCAUCCACAACCACCACCUCAGCAGUUUAUGCAUCCACAACCACCACCUCAGCAGUUUAUGCAGCCACAACCACUACCUCUGCAGUUUCCGAUUUAUCCACCACCACCACCAUAUAUGCUUCAGAACCAGUCCAUGAUGCUGCCAAAUAAUUUGUUCAAUGGUGGCAUGAUGAAUCACCUUGCCUUCAAUAAUAAUAAUAAUAUGGGAGGAUAUGGACCUGCAGGUGGAUUCUUUUGAUCCAUUUCAAUCCAAAUCCACCCGAAUCCAAAUCUUCUUUACUAAAUUUUGUUUAUGCUUGUAUACCAACCCAAUGAUGUUUUGCUAGCUACUUAAAUGUGUCAGUAUGACAAUCAAUGAGAAAUAAAAUGAGGUGUGCUAUUUAUUACUAGGCAAAAUCUUAUUAGGUUAGUAUAGAGGCAUAAAAAACUUUUGGUAUAGAAAAUUUGGGUUCAAAAUAUGCCCUCUCUUUCUUUUCAAUAAUUUACUGUAUUUCAAUUUCUAUAUUUACCUGUUUCAUAGUUGGGACUGAUAAGGGUUUGGAUUUUCAUUAUGUUGCUUGUCUUGUCUGUUUAUGGCAUGUCUGUCAUAAUCUUUGUCAUUUUGUACUUCUGAAUGUAUUAUCAAAUAAAAGGCAUAUUUCUUUUUAAUAUUUCAAGAUCUCUUUCAAUAAUGUAUAUUCUAAUAACAUGUUUAGGGCUCUCAAAUUAUGAACUCCCAAAACAAAAAAAAUAAUGAAUAUUAUUGGUAAAACUAACCGGAAUUGAUUAAAAUAAAAAUUCAAAUCAUGAACUAUAGUACCAAUUUAUUUUUUAUUUAUUAUAUAUAUGAAAGAGCCUUGUUGAAUCAUAUGUGAAAAUUAUGGAUGGGAGCCCUUCCAAAUUAUCAUAUACGUACAACAUAAAUGUUCCCUAUGAUAUAAUAUUUUCUUAACUUCAAUUCUAUCAUAUUCAUACUAAUACUAAAUCCAUCAUACAUGCAAUCUAACUGCUAAAUAAAAAAGUGAAUCAUUGGAAAACAUAUGGACAACGAAGAUAUUUGUUUUAAUUAACUAAAAUUUAUUAAAAAAUUGUAUUGAUCGAGUCUUAUAUGAUUAUAACUAAUAAGAAUAAAGUAUCUCCUCGUAUAAGGAGAAAGUUAUCUCCCUCUGUUAGCGAAAUCAUGACAUGUGACCUAUUUCAUCAUUUUCUAUAAAAAAAAUUCUAAAACUAAAUAAAAUAGUACACAUGUCAUACUUUCACUAGCUUAAGAAGAUAAGUUAUCUCUUAAUGUGAGGAGAUACAUUAUUCUCAUAACUAAUAUAGUAAAACCUUAUUAGGAUCCUUGAAAGGUCUGCAACCAAUGAACUUAAUUCCUCAAAGUUUAGCUCCAUCAACUAUUCUAAAAGAUCAACAUUACACUAGAAUUCGCAUUUAAUAACGCUCAUUCAAAAAUGUACGUGUGAUGCAUACUGUUAAAUGUAAGGCUGAAGGUAAUUAACAGAAUUCGGUGAAGCAAACACUGUUAAAUGUGAUAGAUAAAUGUGCAAUCAACAACGCCUAAUGAAGCAACAAUUGUUGUUUUUAUGACAUAGAGAUUCAACAUCGUUUAGUUAAGCGGGUGUUGUUGAAAGUGACAGUGAGUGUUGUUUAAUGACAUAUUUUAAAUAUCGGCGUUUCGUGUAACCUAACUACAUAAAUGUAAUUAUAUACACUAGUAAACAGAUUAUACAAUAGUUAGGAAAGAAUGAACUAAUUUUUUCCUAACUAUUAUUGUAGAUUAUAUUAGUUUGGUAGUCUGUAUAGAUAUAUAUUGCAAAGUACUUGUAUAUAGUUGGAUUGUUGAGAUUGUGAAAUAGAAAAUGUAAUUAUUGUUGCCAAAAUAAAUGAGAUUGUUUAUAUUUGUCAUAAUAUUGUGUUAUUAUAUGUUUUUUGUGUUGUUUGAUAUAUACAUGACAAUAUACUAAAUGUGUUUGAUUUAUCCUACAAAAACUGUUUGAUAUAACACUACUAUUUGAUGUAGUGUUAUAUCAAAUAGUAUUGUCAUAAGAAUCAACAUUUACUGUAGCAAGUGUUGUAAAUAUGUUGACAUUUCACACUUUCAACAACACUUACUUAAGGAAGAUCUGUUGAUAGUGGCAUAUUCAACAACGCUUGGUUGAGGAAGUGUUAUUGAAAGUGACAAAUUAAAUAACGCUUUCUAGAACAAGCACCAUUGAAAUUGAUAUACUCAAGAAUGAUGACUUCAGAAAACACUUGUGAAAGUUGCACAUUUAGCAAUGCUUUCUAGAGCAAGCGCUAUUGAAAAUGACACAUUCAACAACCUUUCUUCAAGCGAGAACUAUUGAAUGUGUCACUUUCAACAUUGCUUUUAAAAGUACAGUUGAACCUAGCCUUAUAUUCUACUAUGAUUACAUUAAUAUUACCUACAAGCAUUGUUGAUUGUCAAAUUUAAGCAUUAUUGUUUUGCAAUUUUAACAUAUUUCAAAAUAUACAUCAAGAUCGUCUUUGAAACUAAUGUGACAUUUUAGAUGCAUCACAUGUGGUAUUCUACAUGCAUCUCACGUUAGCCUCAAAGACAAAAUUGGUGNNNNNNNNNNNNNNNNNNNNNNNNNNNNNNNNNNNNNNNNNNNNNNNNNNNNNNNNNNNNNNNNNNNNNNNNNNNNNNNNNNNNNNNNNNNNNNNNNNNNAUGUCAUCUUCUUUUGAAAUAAAACAUUUUGAAAACAAUGUAGUGACAUCAUCCAAAUUUAAACAUUUUGAAAUAUUAUUUAUACGAUGACCAAAAAAUUUAACAUUAUUAGAUAAAAUGUCACGAAUAAUACAACAAUCAGAAUCAAAAGAUACAUGGUUGCCUUUGUCAAAGAGUUGGCUUAUGCUCAAGACAUUAUGUUCUAAUCCUUCAACAUNNNNNNNNNNNNNNNNNNNNNNNNNNNNNNNNNNNNNNNNNNNNNNNNNNNNNNNNNNNNNNNNNNNNNNNNNNNNNNNNNNNNNNNNNNNNNNNNNNNNUACCGGGCGGAUUCGGCCCCGACAGUGGUCCAGAACCGACUGUCUCCAAAAAUUACCAAAAUUUACCACAAAAUUGGAAAUAAAAUUUCAAGAAUAAAACUCAACUAGAGUUUUGUCUAAUUCCUUACCGAAAAUUCCCAGAAAUUCAUUUUCGAAUAUAUAAUUAAUGAAAAUAUUAGUAAAAUCUUAUAAUUCAAAAUCGUAAAAUUCGCGGUGUUACAGAAUCACGAAGGAAUUACAGGCUCUUAAAAAUUUGAUUCAUAAUUAUACUCAGGCUUUUGGUCAACAUAUCAACCCAUCUAAAUGCAAGUUCUACACUGCAAAUGCUCAAUUAGGAAAAUUUAUGACCUUGCAAACAUCUUAGGUUUCUCUACUGGAUCUCUCCCAUUCAAUUACUUGGGUGUCCCUCUAUUUAUAGGGAAACCCAAAAAAGUGCAUCUUCAGCAUAUUGUAGAUAAAAUAACCCUAAAGCUUGCUAAUUGAAAAGGUAUGUCUUUCUCAAUAAUGGGAAGAGUGGAGCUUGUUAAGUCUAUAAUCCAGAGCAUGCGUGUGUAUAGCUUUCAUGUCUAUGUUUGGCCAUCUCAACUGAUCAAGCAUGUGGAUAAGUGCAUAAGAAACUUUGUUUGGUCAGGAGACAUAAACGUGAGGAAAAUGAUUACAGUGGCUUGGCAUCAAGUUUGUUCUCCUAGUAUGUAUGGUGGGUCUUGGAAUUAAAUCAAUCAAGCAUCUAAACAAGGUUGCUCUUCUUAAGCUAACUUGGGAAAUGAUUUCUUCAUAUCAGGAAUGGGCUAUAUUCUAUAAGGAAAGAUUUGAAUCCUCUUCUAAUCCUUCAAACAGAUACUACAAGUCUUCAAUAUGAACUGGUAUUAAGAAUAUUUGGCAUGGGGAAAUCAUAAACUCCAUAUGGUUAGUUGGUGAUGGGCAUAACAUAAGCUUCUGGAAAGACAAUUGGCUUGGAUGUCCUCAGGUGGAUUCUAUGAAUAUUCCAGAUGAAUUGCACAAUUCUCUUCUACCAUUUGUCGCUGAUUUCAUAUUUGGCUCAAAGUGGAUAAUUCCUAACCUCAUUGCUGAUUUAUUUCCUAGAAUUGCCACUCAAAUUUCCAAGACUAGGAUUCCCAGAAUAAAGGACAGAUUGGUAUGGAUUGGCUCAAAUGAUGGAUUGUUAUCUCUAAAAGAUGCAUACUCUUGUGUCCAUACUCCUAAUUUCAUUCUCCUUUGGUGCAAAACAAUCUGGUCUUCUUCAAUCCCUCCUUCAAAGUCUCUUCUAUUAUGGAGAUGGAUAUAUAAGAAGAUGCCAACUGAUGAAAAUCUACAAAAGAGGGAUUGUUGAAUGAUCUCAAUGUGUAGCCUUUUAUUUGUUCAUUUGUUUCUCCAUUGUAAUCUAGCUAAACACCUGUGGCAUUGGCUUUGUUCCACUUUCUCAAUCCAAUUGGACACAUCUUCUAUCAAGUCAAUUUUGCUGGCUUGUAAUUCAAGAUGGAGCUACCAACUAAAAGACACUCUAGCUGCUACAAUCACUCAUAUAAUUUCAACAAUUUGGUUCUGUAGAAACCAUGCUAGAUUUGAGGACAAGACAAUCUCAAGGUUUCAAGCUUUGGCUAAAAUCAGAAUGGCCACAACUUUGUCGGGUAAUACAACAAAGCACUAUGCUAGUGGAUCUCUAGAGGAGUUCCACAUCCUCAAGUCUCUCAAUGUCUCAAUUAAAUGCAACAAGGCUCCUAGAAUUUGUGAGAUAAACUGGAAGAAUCCUACAUUGGGAGUAAUAAAAAUCAACACUGGUGGGGCUACAAAAGAGUCCCUUGGCCAUGCAGGUAGUGGUGGGAUCUUCAGGGAUCACUCUGGUGGAAUGGUAGCUUGCUUUGCAAGUUACUAUGGUAUUCACGAUGUCCUUUAUGCUGAGCUUCAAACAUUAAUUUUAGCUAUAGAAAUUGCUUUCAAGCAUGGCUGGAAUUCAAUAUGGUUGGAGUGUGACUCUAGAUUAGUUGUUGACAUCUUCAAUGGAAAGGGUAGGGUGGCUUGGCAGCUUUGGUCGAAAUGGAACAUAUGUAAGCAAAUUUUAUUGUCAAUGAAUUUCUCAAUUUCUCACAUAUAUAGAGAAGGAAACUAUUGUGCUGAUAAGUUGGCAAACUAUGGCAUAAAUACUAGGAUUUUUUCUUGGUGGAAUGACAUUCCUCAAU